AAGCCAAGUAGCCCUGGAGUGAUCAUCAACGAUAGUUAAAAAAUAUCGAAAACCUUCAAUAGCCUCCACUGAAAAUGGACCCUAAAUGCCAAUGUGCAACAGCUCAAAGCUUGAAUUACAAAUAUUGUUUGAAGAGGAGUAAGACAGCUUCUUCUGUUUUGACAAAUGACAAAUAUGACAAUAAGUAGUUCCUUUAUUCUUAGAUCUAUGUGUUCCCAAAGCCUCUGAAAAAGAAGGAUGCCCGAGUCUCUUGUGCCACAUACCAAGAUCAACCACGACAUUAACUGAGACUGAUGAACUUGAAGCUUCUAGCACAUAGAGAUUUCCUACUCUUUUACCCUUUCCAAUUGUUGACCCCUUGGUAAGAACCUGAAUUUCACAAGAAGAAGGAUCAAAUAUCACUCUUGUUUGCAGGUCAGUAGUCAAAGAACUGAUAAGUAUCAGAUUUAAACGAAACUCCGGAAUGAACAAGACAUUGUUGAGAAGAAUAUCAUUGUUAAUCCGGAUAGUUCCUACUCCACUGAUUCUUACACAAGAGCCUUGCGGUAGAUUAACAGCACUCAUAACAGAACUAUCAAGGGAUAGAAAUAAAUCCUUAUCAUAGGCAACAUGAUGUGUUGCACCUGAAUCUAUAACCCAAGAUUGAGUAGAUAAACUUUGUUGUGAAACUGUGAGAAUACCAAUAAAAGAGUAAGUAGAUGGAGAGAAUGAGAUACCAGAGGUACUAGCUUGACAUUGAGAAACAUUCUGAUCAUGAGAGUUACUGACUUCUGAUGGAGAGAAAGACUGAGAUUGAAGCUGAGUACUGAAGAGAGCAAUAAAAUUCUGAAUCUGAUUUGGUGUCAUGUCACCAAUCAAACUCUCUAGAUCAGUUCGCUUGCUAUCAGAUGACAAAGAAACAUGAGCUGCAACCACUUUUGGUUUCUAGAACUUGUUAUCAGGUUGAGACUUGUUAUCAGGUUGAGACUUGUGAUCUGAUGGCUUGAAUUUUGAAAUAAAACCAGGUGGAAAACCAUUUUUCUUGUAACAAUGUUCAUCAAUAUGUCCAACUAUGUUGCAGAAAGAACAGAUAGGCCUACUUUUGUUAGGACUAGAUUGAACAUAACAAAUAGUAGAGUCAUGUUCAACAUUCUGAGAAACUUGAAAGGCAGCAGGAGGAGCAAUGAUAUUGGAGAAACCUCUUUGAAUGUCAUCUUGAUCCAGAAUGUGAUAAACUUCAGCAAGAGUUGGAAGCACUUUCUUCAUAAUAAUUUGUCUCCUAAUGAUUGCAUAUGAAUCAUUAAGGCCUGCCAGAAAUUUGACAAUUUUGGCUCUCUCUGCCUUUAAUUGCAGACGAGUAGCUUGUCCACAAACACACAGAUUACCAGGUUCAUCAGCACUCUCCAAAUUAUCCCAUAGAGUCUUGAGAGUGGUGUAGUAAUCUGAAAGAGACAUUGAACCUUGACGGAGAUCUUGUAUCUCUUGUGUCAGAUUAAAUGUUCUUGGAAGAUUAGUCAUGUGAAACCUGCUGUACAAAUCACGCCAAAUAUCGACAGCAUCUUUCAAACGCAAAAUACUGCGAUAGAUCUGAGGUGAUACAGAGUUUAGUAACUAGGAUUUCACCAUGCUAUUGCAUCGUGACCAGAUGCGAAAAUUAGGAUCAGUUUCAACAGGACGCAGCAAUGUUCCAUCUAUGAAUCCCAACUUAUUCUUAGCAUCUAGAGCAACUUCCAUAGCAAUAUUCCAGUCAUCAUAAUUCGUUCCAUCUAGACGAAGAGAAAUGAUGAUCAAACCUGGAUGAUCCGCGCUAUGCAUAUAGAACGGAGAAGAUGAUGGAUCUGUGAUCGUCGGCAUCAAAGUGGCUCGCGAAGCUCCAGAAGCUAAAUCAAGUGCAACUGGAGGAGAAUCGGGAGGAGAAUCAGUGACGACGGUAGAUCGAGAUGUUUUACGAGGUCGAACUACAACUGACGAUGUCAAAGCUUUAUUCCGAUUUGAUCGGCGAAGAAUCUUCAUCGCAAUCACCAUUUGAGCUAAAAUCGAGUAGAACUAAGCAAGAUCUGAGCUCAAAAACAGUGAAAUCGAAGCGGAAUCAAGAGAAAAAGAGCUUUGAUGGCUCUGAUACCAUAUUAGUGAGAGAGAAGAAGACGAUCGAGAGAGAAAAGUUUGUUAGAGAAUUUCUCAUCUUAUUUAUCAAGUAAUCUGUACACAGUAUAUAUAUACACUUGGUUUUAAUGUAAACCGGUCUACUAAUCUAAAUAUAUGUACAUAACCGAGUAAACCGUUGUAUACUCUCCAAUAUAAAGUCAAGUAACCAACACUGGUUACAUAAUAAUGUUUCAGAUAUGACGUUAAUCCAAUGAUAAGCUUACAUAUGUUAGAUAAAACAGUUCUUUGAAAAGGAAAACAAAGUAAUUCUGGAGCAAGAAGGACGUGUUCACAUAAUGAUAGAACAAUGAAAAAUUGUAAUAUGUAAAAAGUCCGUAGUUCUAGUCUGUUAGAACUAUAAAUAUUGCAUGUUUGUGUCUAACAACAGUUUUUCUCGGGUUUAAAUAGUUAAAAGAUUUCAUCGUGGAAAAUAUUCAUGAAAUUAACAAUAAGCGUUAAUGAAGUGGUACUGAUCUAGUGGUUUCUAUUUGAGAAGCAAUCGUAGGUUUAGGUCUCAGAGAUCGAUUCUCUUAAAACGUAAAAUUUAUGAAACUAUUCUUUUUGAACAAACGAAAUAGUGUCAUGUUUUACGUCUAUUAAGUCGGUGAAUGAGAUACUUGACUAUAUUUAUACAACUUCAAAAAUUCGUAACAAUGACCAAAAAAUCUUAUAAGAUUCUAUAAAUGUUAGUGAAGGAAUUAGCACCUCCGAUAAUACCGACUUAAACCGACUUAAACCGGACGAAUUGCGAAUAAAUCUGAAAAUUCAGUUAAACCAGGAAAUCCCGGUUAGGCCUGAUAAUGGGCCAGAGACAAGAGGUCGCCUGGCGAUCUCGGUCCAAAGACAGGAGAUCGCCUAAACCGACAUCUUGUUCGAGAAAAAGGAGAUUUUCCUAAAAAGGAAUGGAGAAUCCCGAAAAGAAAAGAAAAUCAGAAGAUAAGGCCUCGAGGAUUUAGAAGAUUAACAUAUCUCUAAAACGUAACGUCAUUAGCUAUGUAUAAAUAGAGGGGUGUCCUCUAUUUUAGGGGAUCCGCAACUUUUACACAAAAACCCUAAUCGUUUUGAGCUAAACCCUAGCGUUGUCUCUAAACAAUAAAAUUCACCCUUUUCUUCGAGUCUUUGAUCGCAAAUAACAAGAGAGUUAAUUGAAUUUGUUUUCCCUCUUUAAACAAAUUUAUUGUGUGAUUUUCAGAAUCAACAAUAAACCUAGCUUUCUUUGGCUCCUCUCCAAAUAUGUAUCGGAAGAUUCCACCUACAGUAACCUGAAGCAAAACCCAUUUCAGAAAUUACCCUAAACUUUAGAUAAAAAAAAACAAUCACCCUAAACUAAACACUUCCGACUUCGGCUUUUCGCCACUCAAAAGACAUGAUUUUACGUUUAUGAGCAUAUGAAUAUAUUUCUAGAAGCUAAUCAAUGAGAGAGAAGACUGAGAAAGUUUUCUAGCACUGGAAAAAAAGAAAACCCAAGUAACAUAAAUAUAUGGUCCCGACUCAGUGAUAGAUAUAUUCAACCGACAUAUUGUACUAACGCCCUGCAUGGUCCAUGAGACACCACUCCGUUUAUAAUAUAGUUCCAAAGACUGCACCAUCAUGCAUGUCAACUUUGUGUCAGCUUUUAAAAGGACUUUACAUUAUUGAACACAACGAUGGGAGAGUAAAUUGCAAUCAUAAAUAAGCUAUCCGCCGAUUCAAGCGUUGCUUAGGAUAAGACUUGAUUCAGGGCCAAUCACGUCGAUAUUGCUAUGCAUUGUGGUAGAUAUCUCUGAAAAAAAGAUAAAUCUAAGAUUUUGCAAAAAAAAUAAAAUAAUAUAUAAAUCUUAGAAUGUAGAGAUAUACCACAACCUUUGAUAUAGGAACUAGACAGAAAUGCCCACACAGCUGUGGUCCAGUGGUUGUUGAGAAUUGGGGAAAAGUUUGAAAGAACUAACCCAGGUUCGAUCUACGUUGGAAACAAAAAACACAUUUGUGUAGGAAGUCUGGGCUUGGAUCAAGCAGUUUAUCUGGUAAUCCAGUAACAGGCGAUCUGGCUACUCCCUGGUAUUAGUCGGAAAGCAUUCCAAAUUCGGGACAGACAGUGUGGUGGCUCUUCGGAGAGAAGUCCACUCUUAAGCACUUCGGUUACCGGGACUGACCGGAUCAGCCGAUAGGGUUUAUCAGAAAAAAAAAAAAAAAAAAGACUAGACAGAAAUCUUGAUAUGUCUACAACUACAAACCUGACUAUUACGACUAUGACCGAGCAGCUCACUCAAUGUUCUAACGGUGGAUAGUAAAUUGUCCAUGCCAUGGAGUGGUUGAUGCAUGGCAAUACAAAAAGCAUAGAAGCUGUAAAACUAGGUUGUAUCCAAUUCACUAAACCAGAGAGACUUAAUUAAUUUAAAUGUUCAACUCUAGCUCCCACCAAAAGCCCAAACCAACUAGAAAAUCUAUCCCUUUCAAUGAUCUACCAAGACAGCCUUAUAAAUCCAGCCCUCAAUAAUUACUCUCUCAGAAGCUUACAACAACUACAAUGUGCUAGACUCAGUCCUAGGCUUAGUUAUAGUAGACCAUAUGAUUGUCUUUGGUUUGAGUUUUUCAAAAACCCAAGUAUUACCCAUUCUAGAUUUUUGGUAAAAUAGUUUUCAGUUUGUUUUCUUUCAAUCAUUUUCUUAAGAAAAACAAAAAACCCUAUCAUUUUGGUUGCUGCUUGAAAAGCUGUUUCAUUUUAAUAAUUUUGAAAAACGAAACAAUAAAACCAAAAACUUUAUAGAUCAAGUUUCUAAAAUUAAUAGGAACUAAAACUAAAAGGGUACCACUCAACUUAAAAAAAAAAACUAAAACCUAUUGCAAAAACCAAAACAUUAAAAACCAAAAACUUUUGUACUUAUCAAUGAAUUUUGGAUUUUGGCUUUUGGCUUUUUCAGUUUUUGGAUAUUGGUUUCUGGUUUAAGGUUUUGAAAAAAAAAAAUGAAUGGAAAGAAAAAAGGUUUAUUUAGAGGAAACCCAAGUAGUAAGACCUCUAUAAAUUAAUAAUGUUGAACCAUGAUAUUUUAUUAAUUUAUAGUGAUAUUAAUUUAUCUAUAAAUUAAUAUUUAUUAAUUUAUAGUAUUAGUUAAUAUUUAUUAAUAUAUAAAGAGUUUUUUGUUUUAAUUCAUAAAAUUUUAGAAAGAAAUAAAUUGAGACACUUUUGUUUAAAUAAAAUUAAUGUUUUGGAUGUUAUAAUUUUUGUAGUUUUAGACUUGAAAUUUUAAUAGCUAAAAGAAAAAAACUCUUUCAACAAUAAAUUACAAAGAGUUUAGAUAAAUUCACGUAUACAAACGAUAUAUUAAUUGUUGACAAAUAAACGAUAUAUUAAUGAUCCAAUAUGUUGUAGUUUAACACCUAUCAAACUACAGAUUAUUAACCUCAACAGUCAUAUUUUAACAUAUGUAAAACUAUCAAAAUGAAAAUGAUACACAUUCAAAAUUGAAAACUUACUGAAAAAUUUGGGUAUUUUUAUGACAUAGUUAUAAAAUAUACUACAACACUAUAGUUUAACAACACAUUAUAACAAUUUUUUUAUAUAAUAAAAUUAGAGAUGAGUUCUAACGAAAAUACAAUUUCUUUAAAAAACACUAAUAGCAUACAUUAUAUAUCAACAUAUAAUAUAUAUAUAUAUAUAUAUAUGUAUGUAAAUUUAUAUGAUUUUUAAUUUAUGGUAUUAAUGAGAUCAUAUAUCUCGAAUUUACAUACAUUGAAUCUACAUAGAGAUUCCAAAAAAAUUAUUAUCUUAUCGAAUUUUACUAAUUUUUAUAUUAGCCCGACGUUGAUCCGGAGAAAAAAAUAUUUCAUCCGUUUCAAAAUAUAAGGCGUUUAGCUAAAAACACGUCGAUUAAGAAGAUCUACUUUUUAAAAGUUCAGCCAAUCAUAAAAGAGACUGUAUAAUAAAAAUAAUUAUAAAGUAUUAAAAUAAUAUAUAAUUUACAUAGAAAUUUGAAAACGACUUAUAUUUUGAAACAAAAAAGUUUCUCCAAAACGUCUUAUAUUUUGAAACGGAGAAAGUAUUAUUUUAUCGUGUUUAUUAAUUUAUCGAGUAUUAAUUUAGGGAGGUUCUUAUGUAAUUGGGUUUCUAAAUUUUCAUUGAAAUUGGUGAAAACUAGUUAAAGAUUAUCAAAAGCUGUCUCGUUAUGCCGUAAAGUUUGACAUAACAAAAGCUUUCGACACAUUUUUAAUGGUCUUUUAUAACAACAACAACAGCAACACUUGAGAGACAAAGCAUUUUUCAGCUUCAUUAAUGGUCAUUUUAAUGAUGUUUUAUAACGACAACACUUGAGACAAGACAUACAUUGAAUCUACGUGUGUAUAUAUCUAAUCUUCACGCCUUUUUUCUUUGUUACAUUGUAUCAAUUUACGAGAAACUAGAAGGGUUUUUUUCGUGAGUUCGGGUAAGACUAUGACAUGGUCUCGUUGUCCCCUAUCUAUUUUUCAUAAACAUAACUCAUAAAUCAUUUUCGUUGUGAAAUAGGAUUAACACAUUUAAUCUUUGUUGAUGACAUGGCUGGUCGAAUUUCUCAAGCUCUUCUUAGAAACAAUGACAUUAUACUUGGACAUUCUUAAAGGCCAUAGGCCCAUGAUAAUCAAUUUGUUAUAUGGGCUUACCUUAUACAGUUUAUACAAUGGCUGACAAUUUGGUGUCUCUGGUUUGUGUGUUUCAUGGGAAAGUGAUUGAUGCACUUUAAGUGUUUGAUAAAAUGUCUCAGAGAGGGAUUAAGAGUGAUGUUUCACUCUAUGGGACACUUAUCAGAAUUGCUCUAGAUUUGCAUAGAAGGAUGAUGCUUGAACUUUUAACAUUUCGAUAUAUCGUCUACUAACAAAUCAUAUGAUACAGUUCUAACAGUAACUUCUAGUAUGCUUUUCUAAUGUUUUUUUUUUUCUUUUUCUUGCAUAUAAUACAAUCGUAUAUGUGCAUUUCUUCUACUGAGGGGAAAACUUGUUUAAGAAUAUAAAAGAAUCACCAUUUAAGGUAGAACAGAGCAAAAUGAUUAGGGUAUAUCACGGCAGCUUUGUUUGCUAGGCAGAGGAGUAUUCCUCCAUGAGCCACGCUUUGUGGCCACUAAUUCCGGUGGUGACAUAUCAGACUCCAGCUUCUCCUCGGGCUCUGGAUCUUCUCCAACCCUGAACUCUGGGUGGGCGUACGCAUCUCGAAGGAAAGCCUUGAGGUUAAAGUUUGGCUCACGUAUGCGGUCCAGUGUAUCUUUGAUCAUAGCUUCCUGCUUUGGCUCGAAACAAGGAAAGGGUUAGCUUACACGUUUCACUCAAAAGCUACUAGAGAUCUUCAGUUUUUUCUGUUUUUUGUAUUAACUGACCUGUAACGGGUAUGUUACAAAAGCAGGUUGGUAACGAUUUUUGCAAUGCAUGUGGAACCCGAUGGUCAGCAGCGGAAGCACAAGCAGAAAUGGAGUGGACUUAGAAGCGUGUUUGGUGCUUAGAAGACCCAUCAAGAGCAGCUGCGAAACAACCAGUGCGGUCACAACACGCCUGUGAACGUCAGGCCAGAACUUCCCUGCACUUUCAUACUUUUGAUUAUACACAUUUAUAACCUGCAAAUUGAGCCUUCAUUGUUAGUUAACGACGCUCGAGCUUUGGAGGAAAAAGGAAGCAGAAGGAAGAUUCAGUUAUUUCACCUGAUGACGGUACACUACGAAAGCCAGGCCGAAGAAGACGAGGAUAAAGGGGAGAAGGAUGGGGCUAACUGCUGCGUAAACAAGACCAAGAAGGAAGUAGAGUUGUAUUUGAGGCUCACCAGUGUUGAAUCCUAUGGUUCCAGGAUCAGUAGCUUCUUCCCUAUCUUUCUCGGUUCUCACGAGGAAGGAGUUCUUUAGAUGAUAGAUUAUGAGUGGCUUCAACCUCAAUAUCUCCCCAGCAACACCAGCCCAUCCAUCAACCAUUAUGUAUGUUAUAAAGAAGGUUGCUUUCAUUGGAAUCGAGACACCAAUUGUUUUUGGGAUACUGCAGAAAUGAAAAAGUCAGAAAGAUAUGAUAUCUCCCAGUGAAAUGCGGACAAGGGAAGGUUUUAAAGAACAUACUCGUUUGCAGACUGGUUAAGGAAACUAUUGAGCUGUUGAAACGCAGUCCCGGUGACUAUGCUUCCGAGGAAAACAUUGAUGAAUUGGAACAUGUAGAAUCUAGUUGCGGCUCUUCUUUCUAAUGAGGAUGUGCUGACAAAACCUUCAAAUUUGGACAUUUGCAUCAGUAUUCUUGGGAGGAAAAGGAGGAAGAUCUUCAAAGCGAUUCCGGGAAGGAAACCUUGGAUGAUCGACUUUAACAAUUUCCUGUUCACAAAGACCAAAAAACGUAAGAGAUUUUAUCAACGGGGCAGCGGGACAGAACAGGUUGAUAUAUUCAUGAAAGAUAGACAGAGACAUACACUUCUAUAAGGGGCUUCAAGAAAGGAAAAGCCUUCUCUAUGCCUUCGAUGUUGGCAAGUGACUGUACAAAUGCUAUUGGUAUCAUGAAGAAGAAGGUGAGGAAGAAGUAUGCGACGCCGACUAUGAGCCUCCUUAUCUUAAGGUCAACAUAUGGCAAUGCCAGAUUGUCAUAGUAAAUGUCACGUGGCUCUGCAGCCCACUCGGUUAGCCAUUCUGUUGGGUUUCUUGUCUGUUGAGUUUGAGCACAAACCGCUGCUCCCCAACGGCUCUUGAAAGAUACAAAAGCUGCAGGCACUAUGGACUUUGUGCCGGUCCUUAACCUCUGUUUCUCCUCAGCUAUCUGACACAUCCAAAGAUAGUAUGAUUAAAUAUGUUGCAAAUGAGGUUGGAGAAUAGCGUAGAGAAGUUAAGAUGAAUGCUUUACUUCUCUUGUGAGACCCUCGACGACGGACGUGUAAUACUUGAUUCCAUCAGCUUCUUCACCACAGCAGCCAAGAAAUCCCAUCUACUUAUGGACAUUGAGAUGCAUCUUAAGAGAAACAGCAAAGGAGAAAUUUAAGCUUAUGUGAUUUGCAAAUGUGAGUUUACCUUUAUUACUGGCCUGUUAGAUUGAUUCCUCAUGUGUUUGUUUAUAUUGUAAUCAAGCAGAUUCUGCAUUUGUUUCCUCGUCAGAACCAAUUCUGAGAGUUUUGUUGCAUCGUGGACUGCCUGAGUUAAAAGCAGAUCAAGAAUCAUGAGCUCAGAAAUCAAGUCAGAGAUGGAUAAUAUUAGUAACAUAAAAUCGAAAGAUGAUUUACCUGGAAAGUGAGGUAGUGAUCUGGAUGGUUGACUUUGAAGAAAUGUUCAACAAGUUCACAUAUUGAUUCAUGAGGAUCUGAAGGAAUGUUUCUUACCAGCACCUAACACAGUAAGAAAACAGGUUUCAGCUUCUUCUAUCAAAAGUAAAAACUCAAAGAGCAUCAAAGGAUUCAUAGUGUCAUUACAGUGAACUGGUUAGGUCUCCUUUGAUCAUUUGCAAGAAACUGUAGUCUCAUUAAAGCUAUAUUCUGGUACUCUCUUUUCAGGAUAAAGCAUGUCCAGAAAGUGAUAGCAUAAGCCAUACACAAAUGCACCCAAAAUCUACAGAAGAUGAGAAGGAUCCAAAUGAGUACUCAAUCAUAUUGAAACAAAGAAAAAGCCACCAAACUCGGAGAAGUGUAUCUCUUACCUAGGUGAGCCAUUUGGUAUAUUUGAUAAAGAGAGUUUAUCAAUAUCACUGAAACUUAUAUUAGAAUGUCUUAACCGAUCCAAUCCCUUGUUUGUCCAAUUAACAGGAACCAUUGCCGUAAAAGCAACACAAGCUAUAGGGAAAAAGAUCUUGAGCCUGCAAUCAAAAACCAUGACUCAAAUCUCUUAAACCAGAAGAUAAAAAGAAAAGGGCUUGGAGAUACAUAAGUAUAUAUAUACCCGAGUAAGUAGAUCCUCAAGUAGACAACAGAAUCGAGUCCAGCGUGAUCGACGAGCUCAGGUUCUGGCAUUUUAAGUGCUUCAGGCAUCCAAUUAAGGAAACGAAUAUAGGAUCUGAAGUCCAAGUUGAUGAAUUUGCUACCAAAGCCACCAGUUUGUAUAGAACUACUUCUUAAGCCCUUGAGAUACCAUUUAGGGAAAUAGACUCUGUCAUUUACUGGUUGAAUCCUGAAUAUAGCAAAAGCUAAGAGAAAAGCUAAUGCUGUCACUAUAUUGAUUGCUGCUGCUACUCCAAUAUCGUUUAUUGUAGCCAUGAGAGUGUCAAGAAGAAGAUAUAACUACUCUUCCUGUAAAAAAGAUUCAACAGAAUGAGAAACACAGAUUCAGACUUUGCAAGUUGAUGUAGGAAAUUUCCAAAAAAAUCUCAACUUGCUCUGUUUUUUUUUGGCAUCCAAACAGAAACAAGAGCCAUAUGUCACAGUCACAAAGAACACUGAAGAAAUAAAACCAGAUUUGAACUCAAUUACCUUUUAAAAGAGGUAAAAGACAAAGCUUUAUUGUUCCAAAUCGACCAAGACAGAACAGUAAGAGAAGAAGAAGAAGAAACAGAGGAAGAAGAAAAGUUGUAUUUUUGGGAGAAUUAAUGAGAAAAAUUCAGAAUUUUUUCUUGCCGGGUUUUUAGGAAAUAUGUUCAAAGAUUCAUUCGAAUAAAAAGAUUACUGCGAAUUUAUUGUUUAUAAAUCCGUGAAGAAAAAAGGAGAAAAAAUUGUUGAGGACUUGGCAAAAUGUGAGCCUUGUGAAUUUAUUACAUGAGGAAACAAUAAAAAGAUGCUCUUGUGCUUGUGGUAUGGAAAGAGAGACUCAAGAGUAAACUAAAACCGUGACACAAAAGAAAGAAGAAGACAAGACAUAUCAAUAAUAGAUGGUAGUGAAUUUUUUGGAUUUUGUCUGGCAACGUUUAUUUUCCAUCUAGAGAAAAAUAUGAAUUUUUUUCAUUUGCCUAUAGUUCAGUGGGUAACAACUAGUGGCUAUGAUUCGUUUGAUGUUUUUGAUUCCAAAUCUAAUGUGUUAAAAAUACGUGGAUAAUUAUAAAGUUGAUCCAAAAUAAAAUAAAAAAACGGUUAGUUUUUAGCAAGUGUGAACAUAUUUGUAGAAAUAUCACAACCACUAUUAUUUGAUAUUUUUGAAAUUUUUAAUGGUUUUUUUGGGUGGAUAAUUGAAAAAGCUGACGAAGUUUUUUUGUUUGUAAAUUGUAAAAGUGGGUCCGAAUCUACUUUCUUGCCAAAAUAGAAAUUUAGAUCCAAUCUGCAUUAUCCGUAUUUAAUAUAGUGGUUUUUUUGCCGUAAUAUACAAAACUAUAAAACUUUGUGUAUUUUCUUAUAAAUUAUAUAUAGAAACGAUAUGGUGAUUGUAAUGUGAUCGUGAUCGUGAUCGUGAUCGUGAUCGUGAUGGUGAUCGGUAAGUAAUUCUAUUUAUCGUAAUCUUAUGUGAUACGGGUAAAUAUGUUCAUUUUGAAUAUGGUGUAGUCUUUCGUGAUUACUAUUUACUAAUCACAUAGAUAAAAUUGUUUGUUGUAAAUGUUUAUUGCUUGCUCGUCAUUAAAAUUAAAAUCAUCAUUUGUACCACAAAUAAACAUAAGUUUUUUUUUUUUAAAGAAGUUUAAAUGAUUAAAGAGUUGGUGAUUGUGAAACCAAUAUUUGCAUCGGUUCACCGUUCACACAUUGGUGUGAUGUGUUUAAGACUUUACGUUGCAAAAAUAAAAAAUCAAUUAGGAAAAAGUCCUUUUUAAUAACAUUUGUUGAUUUUGCCAUUUUACUUUAAAUUUUUAGAUUUAUCAUUUUUUAAAAACUAAAAACACAAUUUAUUUAUACAUUAUGUUUGGGUUUAUUUGGUAUUUUUUUUAGGGUAUAAUGUCUGUUAUUAAGAAUGUAUUUUAUAUAAAACUAGAUAUGGACAACGUUACACGGGUUGCUGGUCGAAAUUAUCACUUUUUUUUUUUUAAAUUUAACUAAAAUUAUAUAAACAUCUAUGUUUUGAUUUUAGAAAAUGCAGCAUGUUAAUUAUUUUUUAAACAUAUUUAUUAUGCAUAACGCACAAUAUAAAACAUUAUUUGUUUUUAUUUUAUACUAAUUAAUAAAUCAUUUAAUAUAAAUAUUGGCCUAUUUAUCACCAACACCACCAUUACCGCCUUUUCUCCUCUUUCCCAACUGAUCUUAUUUCACCUCCUUUUUUAUCUCCUAUAGCAUAUAUCGAGCCGAGCCUCUUUCCGACAACAACUCCAGUCUAUGUCCAUCACCGUUCAUAAUUUCUUAAUUGCCUCCAUCGCCAUAUGAUUCAUGAUUAUUUUUAAAGUCAAUCUAUCACCACAUCCGUAAUCAUCAACCACCACCAUCGUCAUCUCCAUUAACAAUCACAUGCUACUCCUAUUUCUUUUAGUAUGAUGUUAUUUUAUUAAAUAACAUUGUGUUUUCCUCUGAUUCUCUGUAAAUGUCUCUCUUUCGUCGUCAAAAUUCUAGUAUUGAAUUUCUUUAUCUAUACGUAUAGUUUCUUUAUAAUAAUAUUUUUAUAUCACAAAACUCUUUAAAUUUAUAAUUUUGUUAUAAUUAUCUUUUUACAAUUUUUAAUUUGUUAAAACCAAAUUUUUGUUUUCCACAUGACAAAAUAUCUUAUGAAAUUAUAGGUAUAAUUUUCUGAUAGUGAUAUUUUUACUUUUAAAACUGUUUAAGUUUAUAAUUAUCUUUUUCUUUUUUUUAAUUAUUAAAAAGAAAAUAUUUAUUUGACACAUAGCAAAAUCGAAGAUCAAUAGAUUUGUCACGUGUCACGAUCACGUGAAUUACUAACUUUGAAAACCAUACUUUAUAUAAUAAGAUCAAUUCACAAAUAUAUUGAUUUUGAAAUAGCAAAAAAUGAUAAAUUGGUAAGUUUUAUGUGAAAAUAGAAAAAAUGGCAAAAUUCAUAACAUCGAAAAAAAAAAAAAAAAAAAAACUUCAAACUAAUGUCAUCUAUAUCAUUAAUUAUGUUUCUACCACUAUUAAUGUUUUCUAGUGGUGUUUAAUAAAGUUAACGGUGGAAUAUCUUUUCAGCUAUCACUACUCUUUGAAUAUGUUCCCAGCCAUAAUAAAGUUUAGGGGAAUAUAAGACAUUAUUAAUUAUAUAUUCGUUUACUGCUUUUAAGAAGAAGUAUCUGGAUCCACUUGAAUUAAUCAAGAAAUUAAUUAAUUCGCAUGAUAAAAGGUUAUAGCUAGUACUAAUAAUGCGUGGUCAGACGUUAAUCUAAGAAUUGAAGGGACAUUGGUGAUAUAUGAAUUAUUUUUAAUUUUUGUUUCCAACUUAUUUUCUGGUAACUUGCAAAGUACAAAAUCUCUUGCUCCUUGCUCUAUUUUCAGCCACAGAAGUUGACUUAGAAAGAAAAUAGAAAUCAUACAUAAAGAAACUCUCACCAAGCAACUUGGUCCUAUAUUUCUUAAAACUUUCUAUUAAACAAUCACUCUCAAUCAUUGUCGUGACUACUACUGACCCACUGUAAUAAUACUUGCACAUUAAGCAUCAUUGUUUUUUUUUUUCUGGUCGUUGUAUAAAUUUUCGACAAUUUUGGUAAGUCAAAAGUUGGACAAUUUAAGUCUCUGGGCUCUACUAAAUCCAUUCGUGAAAGAAAAUAUUUCGGAUUGUGACUUUAAGAAUCAAGUUGUGUCAUAAAUAAUACAAAUGGGUUUAAUGCUUCUUCUCUGUUCAAACAUUUGACACUUUCCAAUCAGUUUUCAAUAACAAUGGUGGAAAUUAGCUACUCUUACCAUGAACAGCAAUCUGGUGAAUGUCCAUAUCUUUAAGCAUCACAGAUCGACCACACGAGUCGCAUGGUGCAGUUCUUGAACCACAAGUACUCUCGUGUUCAGACAUUCCUCUCAUCCUGUCUCUAGUAUCCGCUGCAGAGUUACCCGCUUCAACCAUAUCUCCACAGAACCUACACGCGAUUAGGCGAAGAGGACAAUCUCUCCCUUGAUGUUGAACCUGCAACAAUAUCACAAUCUCGUGUUAACUUAACCAGUUUGAGCACAACAAGGUAAUGAGAAAAAUGGUUCCAACUGUUUCAUGUACGCACCAUCUGUUCUUUCUCGAGUACUAUUCCGCAGCCACAAGUGAGUGGUUCAUGGAAGACUUUUAAAUGUUUCUCCAUCUCUGUGGGCUGCAAUGCUUUCCCGCAUUUUUCACAGUGCAAAUGGUUUUUGGCCUCCUCAACUCUGAGAACGAUUCCACAUCCUUGAUGAUUACAAACAACGUUGUGUCUGCUACAGUACACCUCGUGCAACGCGAUACUCCUACUUGGAAUCAUAUGCUUACAGUUCCUGCACUCUACUGUAUCAACAUCUGACGAAGAUGAUAUAGCCCGUUCCCCAACCUUAGCUCCAUCGCUGCUUUCUUGGACCAGUACUGAGACCUGGUACUUGACUGUUCCUUUGAAGCCGUAUACACCUAUACUGUAGGUCCCUGAGCUCAAAGCCCUCUCCUUUGAUCCCAAGAUCAAGGUCUUUGAACCCACAUCGUGUGAAGACCACUCGUGCUGAUGAAGAGAUGGGAAUAGAACCGGGUGCUUUGAUACAUAGAGAUCAGUAUCCGCUCCGUCUUUCUCCACAUCUAUCUUUACAAUAACUUUGAUGUUUCCUGCCAAUACAUUUUCUACAGUAGCCUCGUCAACUGCAAAUUUAUAGUAAUCAUACUGCCCUUCCUCAACUGUUCCGGAUUCAGAUUUCCCAAUUUGAAGCGGCUUUAGCACAUGCUGAUUUGGCUGAUCUGAAACUAUAUCUGGACUAACUAUAUCAACCUCAAUGUCAGUCUCCAGAACCGAAAUGCUCGAGGCAGGUCUUAACUCGAGAACCUGUAGCUUGUAAGAGACCUGCCCAUAAUUUACCGAGAGAACAUCAUCUAGAGAAAGUGUAGCAUGUUGGCGAAGAAUAGUUUCGAGGAUAGCUUUAUGGUUGGGCAAAUCCGAGAAGCCAAGGUUAUCCGGUUGAAGCUUUGCGUAACUUCCUUUAGGCAACCGGAUAUAACGAAUUUCAACCAAAGGAACAUCCAUUGGAUCAUGUGCUGAAAACAAGUUGCUCCAAACAUGUGGAGGAAGCCCAACAGUACCAUCUUCAGCAGUAAACUCAAGAACACCAGAGUGUGUUGUCUUUUUAUUAUCUCCCUGGCCAACUACAGAGAGCUCAAAAUACAAAGGACCUUUAUCAAAAGCUCCUUGAUCAGACAACUCCGUAAAACACGAUGGUGGCAGUUUAAUCUUAUCUCCAAUUCCUUGAAAAGAAAGAGCUUGGAAAACUCGUUCAAACACUAUCCCAUCUCCAGAAACUAAACUCUCUUGCAUAUGUUGAUCAGCCUAAAUACAAGAACAAGCAAAUGAUCAGAGAAAGCCGAAGAACCAUUGAAACAACAACCACCCAACUGUUCCUUUAAGUAAAAUAAGAUAAAGGAGCCAACUUUUCAAAUCAAGAUUAUCAAUGUCAAAGCUUUUAGUUAUAUGCACCAAAAUCUACAAUACCCAUAAUACAAAAUUAGAAUCACACUGUUCUAAGAUAUCAAAACACCAAUUACAGAGAAUUUAUAACAGAAUCUCCAAUUCAAAAACCUAGGAGAAUAUAUAUGAUUGACUCAAAUUGGCAACUUCAAAAAGCAACGAUUAUAAGAAUAGAGAUAGAGACCUUAAUCUGGGCUUCAAUGGCGUCAAGCCUUCUAGCUCUUUGAGAAGCUUCAAUGGCUUCGCGUUGCUUAAUCGCAGCAUCCUUGGCUUUCUUCUCUCGUUCGAGCUUUAGUUUCGCUCUUUGUUUCCUCUCUCUCUGCUCUCUUUCAAGCUUCUCUUUCGCUGAUCUAAGCUCGAAAUCCAUUUCCUGGGGAAUUCGAAAUCUGAAGAUGGAAGAUUGGAGGAAACACAGCGAUCAGAAAAAUGAAAGUUUGAUUUUCUCUUCUUCUUCUUCAAGAAAAAAGAAGGCUUAAAAGAAAUUGUUCUGUGAUAUUAUAUUAAGUCAAAUAAGUAAGUAUCUAGAAGCAUCUGGGCCUUUCUUAGAUCCAAGCCCAAACCAGACUACAAAUUCAGAAACCAUUAGGGAUUGACCCACCGGUUAGCAUGCUUAGGGAUUUAUAUGUGAUUUUAGAUGUUUACAACAUAACACAUGAUAUAUAUAAUAUUAUAGAUAAAAUUAUAUAAUGUUAGAAAUAUAAAAAUAAUAAACCGUAAGCAAUAAUUAAACUAAAACAUUUGUUUGUUUUUCUUAAUUUUUGGUAGAGUUCAUUUCUAAUAUUUUUACUACAUCGAAAACGAUUUUAUUAUUUUAUAAACUUAAUAAUUACUUUUCUACUUAUAAUUUGUUUUAGAAAGAUAUUGAUUGAUGGGGCUUUUACAAAAAUGCCCCUUUUUCAAUGUCACUUUUCAAAAAUACCCUUUCUUUAAAACCUUAUAAAAAAUGCUCUUAAAAAUGUAAGAUUUACCCAAAUAUGUAUGUAACAUUAUUAAAACAUACACAAACUACAUUUCUAUGUAUCUAAAAUCUUAUAAAUACUUUAUAAAUACCUCAUAAAUGCAUUUUAAAUACCUUUAAAAACCUUUAAAAUAUCUUGUAAAACCUUUGAAAAACCUUAAAAAUUCUUUAAAAUAACUUGUAAAACCUUUAAAAACACCUUAUAAAACCUUAUAAAUACUUGGAUCGAGUCUUCAAGUAGUAGUUACAAUCUAUAAGUACAUUAUAAACCUAAUAAAACUUUAUAAAAAUUUCAAAUUAAAAAAGGGGCAUUUUUGAAAAUGGACAUCUAAAAGGGAUAUUUUUGAACAGGGGCAAACCAAAAGGGGCAUUUUUAACAAUUUCCCUUGAUUUUAUAAAGAAAAAACUGUUUUUGAGAUAUAAUAGAAUUUUGUUAAGAAACUACUAUUAAUUUAUCGAUAAAUUAAUGCCUCUCUAAAUUAAUAAAUUUUGUUAGUUCCGCCAUUAUUAACUUGUAGAGGUUUUAUUGUAUAUAUAAUUUAUAAUGGGUAAGCUACAGUUUUUAAAAACUAAGUAAACAUUCAUUUAACAAUUAAUAUUUCAAUUGAUUUAAGAGAAAUUGAUAAUAAAACAAUAAAAUUGUCUAUAAAUACUCAUUAUUUAGAGAGAAAACUGUAAAUUCAAAUUUGGAAAAAUUAGUGAUUAAAUUCUUUUUAUUUAUUAAUGUUUUAUUUUGUCUUGCUUUAAAUACCCGUAACCUUAUCUUACAAAAAUUCCAAAAUCAAUUUCAUCUGUUUCAUAUUCAGAUCUAAUCAUAUUGCACUUUGGUUUCUUUCUUUAAAGAAUCUUCUUUAACAUGUGAAGCAACGAAGAUGAUCCGCUCUUUGAGAAGAAUUACAAAUCGCUGUACCUGACUAACACGAGGCUUCUCUUAGAAUUGUUUAGAGGAAGGUACUCGGUUGAAAAAUGUAUUAAAAGAUUUCAUGAACUGUCGAGGAAUAAAAAGAACAUAUUUUUGUUCUUUCGAUACAGAAGGCUUUUGCAAGAAAGGAGAAAAUUGCGAUUUUCCUCACCACGAUGCAAAGGUAAGCAAAGGUGUGAAGAUCAAAUGAUUAAAUUUUGGUUUCUUCCGGUGAACCAAUGAAAUCAUCUAUAUAGACAUAUAUCUUACUUUUCAUUUGGAUUAAAUCUUUAAGCAUAUUGUAUUUUAAUCACAUUUUUGAUUUAUUGUUCUCCUAAAUUAUGAUUCAAAAAUGUAUAUAAGAUUUAAAGAUAUCAUGAUACAACAUUUCAACAUUUUCGAACAACCACUGCACACAUGACGAGUAAUUAAUGGUUUAUUUACGUUUAACAUAUCUACAUUUGACUAUAUUUAUCAAUACUUAAAUAACACUAUACUAGGUAAGAUAUUUUAUUUAAAGAGUACAUAGUAUUUCGGUUUUAUUUAAUAACAUACUUUUUAACACAACUCAGAAAUCAACGGAUUAUCUUUCAGGUCUCCAAGUUAAAUUGAUCUAACUAUAUGGAUCAAUGGCUUAAUAUAUUUUUAUUAUAAAUUAUGUAAAUAUAUAUAUAUAUAUAUAGUAAGGCUAUCGAGAACAUCUUCAUCAUCAAAAUUAUAAGGUAUUUGGUUGCUUUCUAUAUCCCAUAAAAAUAAUUUUUCACCCACAAGUCUGAUAGGAGGACUAGGAGACAUGAAUCUACGUCUUCCUCCUAUCAUCAUCUUCAUCUAUGCGAUUCUGCUUCUGGGGAUGUGUGCUUAUAAAAUGGAUCUUGAACCGGUCGGUUAAGACCUCAUGUACUUCAUCGAUCAUCCUCAAUCUUUGAUUUUUCUUAACCGGUCGGUUUAAUCAGAAGGUUCAAUAUUCACAUAGUACGUAGUAGUCUCGAAUUGCUCAAUUAGUUUAGAUUUUGGUCUGUCCGAUCAAAUUAUCACAUACAAAGAAAAGCAACAUAAGAAUUACCAAAAAUAUUAUAAUUUCGAAAUGUUUUUUUUUUUUUAAAGUUUUAACCAAACAAGUGGAACAACCAGAAAUCGAAUCAACUAAACCGAACCGGUCCAACUUAACGGACUCAAAUUAUGUUUUGUAGACAGAAGAGCAAAUUGCAUUUUGACUUUGGUUUGCAGUUGCAUCUCGUGCCUAUGGAAUAGCCUUUUUUUUUUCUUUUUUUCACCUUUUCCAAGUAGUUUGGAUCGGAACACUUUCACAAGAAAGUAAGAAACCUAAGUAAUUAACUUUCCAGGAAAGUAUUGGUUCACAUACACAUUAAAUCACACCAUUCACCAAGCUUUCUUGUGCUUCUUAAUUAACCACAAACUUUGCUUUUAAAACUUAGUGCAUUGCAUCUUGCUAUAUACAUAAACAUGUUUCCUCUUCAUACUAGAGAAAAAAUAUCUUCUCAUGUGUUUCAAAUAUCAAAUUGCUCUGAUCAUUGGAGAGGAAACAAUCAAAUGCUCAUUCCACUUUCGCCGACAUCAAUGAAGUUGAAGAAGAAGCAGAGCAAGAACCUCAACAGCAAGUUGAAUAAAAAGUAAUUUUUAUAGUAAAACAAAAUAUAAAUAAAAAUUACUUUCUAUUCAAAUAAAAUUAAAAAUGAUUGUCACGUCAUUUAAAAAUUAAUAGUUACUUUAAAUUAUAAUGGUAAAAUUGAAAUUUUAUUUUGUUAUGAAAUCGUGAGUAUGAAAAUAAUAAUAUUUUUUUUUUGGGUAUUAAUCGCACUUUAAUUACUAUGUGUAUUUUUUCAACCGAAAACAGUUGAGUAUUAAAUAUCCAAAUCAAAAUUAAACGGGAUUUUUCGGCUUUUUCCCGUUUUCUCUGUCUAGUUUGCUCAUAUUUUCCCUUGUUGAAACUUAUCAAUUUUGUCACCGGCAGCGGAUGCAACUACUUUACCGAUCUUGGGCCAGCUUCAAACCUUAACUCAUCAUAUGCUUAUAAUUUAUUACAACCCAACAAGCUCAUGGAACUUGAUCUCAUCUAGAUUCAUUUUCACAUAACUGUCUUUUGACCCCUUCACAAAAAAAAAAAAAAACACUCUUUUGACCACAAAAUUGUUUUAUGGUGAACAACUUAGAAUAUUUUUGUUUCACCAUAACUUGUGCCUCAAUUGGAUUGGAGCCCAGCUUAGCAAGCUUCACUCAUCAUCACUAAUAGAGAUGUCAAAUGGGUUUGAUGACCAUAAGCUAGACCAAUCCAAAUUAUAAUGGUUCGGUUAUAGUCACACCCAAAAUCGAAACGGUUAAUAUGGGAAACAAACCAGUUUAGCCUGCAAACUAAUGGAACGAACUCGUUUGGACUUGGGCUGUCUAAGAAACCUUAAAAAUUAGGGUUACUAAUUGGGGAAUUUUUUUUUUUCCUAAUUUCUCUUAAAAAUUAGGGUUACUCUAAUUACUUAUUCCUCACAUUUUCUUACUUUCUCGGUGAAAUUUUUACUCCAAAACGUAAUUCUUUGUUUAGCACCUAAUACAUGAUUCUGUUUUUUCCCGCCAAAAAUAUAAAUUCCCGUUUCCUGCCAAAAGUAUGAAUUUUCGUUUCCUGUUUCCCACCAAAUACAUUUUACAAUUUUGACAGAAAAUGUGAUUUGCGAUUUGCGGAAAACUUAAUUCUUUGAUUUUGAUUUGCGAUUUAGUGGUUUUGGCGAAAAAAUAUUAUUUUGCAUUUUUGGAUGGAAUAUUAGAUUUUGCGGUUUUGGUAGAAAAUAAAAAAUCAUAUUAUUUGUACCCUGCAAACAGCGUUGUUGGUCAUAAUACUAUUUGGGUUUUGUUCUAUUUAGAUAUGGUGUUAUUUGGACUUUGACCAUCAAAACAUCAAUAACCAAAAAAUAAAGCUGUCUAUUUGGACAUGCCCAUUUCGACGUGGACAACCCAAUUGACAUCCUUAAUCACUAAUUCAUAUUUUCUCAAACUAUGAUGCCAACAUAUAUAACAUCAAAGGUUUGUGAACAACGAUUACCUUUUGUAGAUGUCUUCAUAUUCUCUAAAGGAUCUCACACAUGUUGUAAAGUAAUUAGCUCUUCCGUAAGCGUACAUGCUCUGAUACUAAUUAUAAAUUAAAAAAUGUAGUGACAAUCACAAACGUUGUGAGAAAUCUUUUAAGUAAUCCUCACUCACGGACUAACUUAACUAAAUUAUCUAAACAAUCAUUUUCUCUUACAUAUUCCAAAUCCUAGUAUUUAGUAUUUACCCAUGUUCACCGAACGGUCUAUCCAACACGAUCCUUGUUGUACUUAGCACACACUCUCACUUACAUAACCAUACAUCUCAAGCUCUAUUUCUUCCUCAAUAUUUUGGCUAUCAACCUAGUUUAGAAAGAAAAAGAAAAAAGAAAAAAAAAACCAUUAAAUAUGUAUUCAUACCCAUACACAUUUUUAACCAUUUCCAAAAUUUACCCUAGAUAUUUAUGUGAGCAAAAGUUCUUGUCCUUUUCUUGUUACGGAGAUUUUUAAAACCUUGAGCACCUAAAUCUUUCGUGAUGUUCAAGUUACACGUCAGCUAUCUUUCUCUUUCAGUCAUCUACAAUUUGCUCUAUUCUUCUGAAAGAUUUUGUACAUGGUCCAUCAAAUCCAAUGUUUGAAGGUGUUUUUGUUCACACGUCUCCACGUAAAUCACUAUAGUUUUUACUAAAUAAAACUUGUCCAAAAUUAUUUCUCAAGUUACGGCAAAGAUUUGGCCAUUUGGGUUACCAUAAUCAACCUUAUGCUAUAUUAAACAAUUUCUUGUCCUUUUCUUAUAUUUGAAUGUAGUAGAUAUCUUUAGAACCAAUUUUGAUUCAAGCAAUUAUUUAAGAGGAUAAUUGUCCUACCCCCAUACCAAGAGCUCAUAAACAAUUGUUAAAGGGUCAAUAGCAACCAAAAAAAAUAAUAAAUUGGAAAAGAAAAAGAAAACCUAAAGUAAUAAUAUAUAAGAGAAACGAGUUAAUCAACUCAAUGUCAUAUUUAUUGACCUAAAUAGGAUGACUAAAUUGAGUUUAUUAUAUAUCGGGCAUUGCUAGCUAAUAAUAAUGCAAAGAGAAAAAUCUUCUGAAAAGUAACGUGAUUUAACUUUGAGUAGCGGUCAUUUUUAUAAAGAUAGUAUAAUUCUACUCAUGUUUUUUCAGUGGAAUUUGGAAGAAUAAAAAAAUAAAAUUUCUUGCAAAACUCUAGAUGCAACACAUUAAAACCAAGAAAGAAGGAAGCUUAGACUGAAAUAAAUUGAACAGAAACAAAUUUUCCAAAAUAAUAGCAUAUUGUGAAAAAACACUCAACCCAAAAAUUGGCAUAAAAUAAUUUUUCAAAAAAAAAUACUUUAAAAAUCGAGAGAACUAGAAACUAUAAUUGGAAACAAAGAUUCCUAUCAAAUUGUGAUAAAAUCGUCAAAUAAUACACCGUUAUGGCGUUAUCCAUGAGAGACACCGUUACUUUGUUAACCCGUCAGGGACACCUAGAGCAUGAUUAUUGUUUGUAUCUUAGAAAUACCUCUUAACAAUAUUUAAAUAAUAUAUAUAUAUAAAAGUGAUUGUUAAGAGAUAGUGUUUUUGAGCUAAGAUUUUUGUGUUAUUAAUGGUAGGCUCUUAACAUGUGGUUCUUUGGAAAAAAAAAAUUAACAUAAAAAUAAAAUUUAUAAUUAUAGAAAAUUUAAUAAUGGUUGCAAAUUAAAAAAAUUAAAACAUACAUGAGAUACAAUGUAUAACAUAAAUAACAGAAAGCAUAAAUGUUUUAAAUUUAAUUUCUAAAAUAUUUUGUCCAUAUAUGCUCUUAGCUAAAGAACGUUCCUUAGCUAACGUUUCUUAACAUUAAACCACAAAGUUGAUUAAAUUAUAUUGCAUUAAAUGUUAAGAAAAGUUUAAAAUUUAUAUAAGAGCUUGCCUUUAAUCAUGCUCUUAGAUUAUUGAUCCAUGAUUUUGAUCAAUUAUUAAAAAUUCAAAAUUUUAAUAAUUUGAUAAAAGAAAAAUAAUAUAUAUAUAUAUAUAUAUAUAUAUAGGCCCUAGGACCCUUGAUGUUGUUGGGACGGGGUUGUAACUCUAUAAAACACAAAGUAGAGAUAUGUUCAAAUCACACAAUUGCUAACCACACAUAAUAUGGAAAUGAUAUUAAUCUAUUUGUGCUUAGCUACCUUCAUAGCCCUACUCUUCCUAACACCACUCCUCAAACGAAUCACCACCACCAAACGUAAGUUACCACCGUCUCCAUGGUAGCGAAAACGAAUGUCUUUCCUAUGUAUUGAAAAGUAGACUUUAUUUGGAUUCAAAAGACCUCUUACAAAUUAUGUACCAAUCAAUAGCUAAAACAAUUUUUUUUAUUCCUUGGUUUUUCAGGAUAUGUUUUUUUCCGGAACCGCAACAACCGCCUCACAACUAGAAUGGACAAUGACAGAAUUUAUGAGGCAUCCAGAGUGUAUGAAAAAACUUCAAGAUGAGAUUAAUUCAGUUUCGACGCAUAAUUCAAAUGUAACAGAGAAAGAAGUUGAGAAAAUGGACUAUUUACAUUGUGUGAUCAAGGAGGGACUACGGUUACAUCCUUCUGGUCCAUUAUUGACCAGACAUCGACUGAAGAUGUCCAACUAAAGAUAUAUGACAUUGCUGCAGGGACACAGGUAAUAUAUUUUUUAAAAUCAUAUAAGACUAACUAAACCUAGAUCAUGUAAAAAAUAUAUAAUGCUUGGAACACAGGUAAUAAUCAAUGCUUGGGCACUCCAACGAAACCCUUCGAUAUGGGGACAUGAUGCAGAAGAAUAUAGACCAGAGAGGCAUUUUGGUUUGAACUUGGAUUUUAAUGGUACUGAUUCCAAGUUCGUUCCAUUUGGAGCAGGAAGAAGCCUUUGCCCCGGGAUCGGAUUUUCUAUGGUCUUGUCCAAAUUGACACUAGCCAACCUUGCGAAAAGGUUCAAUUGGAGACUCGAGGUCGGACCAGGGGGAGAUGAUAAGCCUGACCUAGUUGAAGCAUCUGGUAUUGAUGUUUGCCGCAAAUUCCCUCUCAUUGUCUUUCCAUCACUUGUGCAUGCGUGAAGGUAUUAACCCACCUUGUUGAAUGAUGAUUGAGUGUGAACUUUGGUUUCCUUUAUAAACGUACUUUGAUAUUUGUGGUCUACGUAGAUCCGGUGUCUUCUUAAGCAAAAGUAAACUUAUUUGUGUUUGUUACAUGAUGUGAUUGGAUAUCUUUGUAUUUUAUGAAUAAAUUAUAUCUAGUUUUAUGAAUAAACUAUUUUUGUUAUAUAUGUGUGCUAUUCCAUGAUCCAUAUCACCAGAUUUAUCUUCUCCCGAACUUGAUCAGAGGUAAUUUGGGUCUCUAACCAAGAUUUACAAAUGAUAUCCUCCGGUUCUCGAGUGACACUCUCAUGUAUGCUUAUACCAUUUAUGGUAUAUAUAGCAUGCUUAUACAGUUAUACGUACCAUUUCAACAUGGCUAGGUUCAUAUUCACAUCAUUCUUUUUUUUUGUCGUUUCUUCUUUUUUUUUGACGUCUUUCACACCAUUCAUAAGAAAAAUGAAAAGAUGAAUUUUAUUUAACACAAGCUAGUUCAAAUACAAAGACAGUACCAUGCAUUAUGCAUAUAUCUGUGUUUUCUUUUUGUUUACUAUAACAAAAAGAAAACACAAAGAUAGUACAAUUUCUCCUGUAGAAAUUUAUAAAAUACAAUUUUUGUUUUUAUUUUGAUACAAAUUCAUAUAACUAAAGGUCUCCGAAGAAUUUAGAAAAAUUGUCGAUAGCAUUUUUUGCAGCGAAAUUACGAGCAGUUUCUUUCUUCACAGGAUGUUGUCCACAUCCAACGAACUUAUCCUCAAUAUGGAAACAAUAGGUUUGAUUUUCUUCCCAAGUGUCUUUGGGCGUCAAUUUCAAGUUCCUCUUCUGACACAUCUCAUUAAGUUCUGUCAUUGGAUGGCUCUUCAUUUUGUCUAAAGGUAUGAUUGGCUCCAACAAUGGUUUUAUCACCUAUAUAUGGAUGAAUCAAUUACCUAAAUCUAGUAACUAGAUAUUUAUAACAUAUGUAUGUAUAGUAAGUUACCUCCCAGACGGUCUCAGUGGAGUUGCAGUCCCUGAAGAGAGCUCCAAUGGUAGACUCUACUAUGUCUGCUAGAACUUUAGGAACUUUCAAAAGACCAUUUGAAUGUAGUGGAUAUUUUUCCAUGGCUUCCACAAAUUCCAGUAUCUGCAUAUAUUAGUUAUAUGAAAAUCUCAUCAAUGUAAGUCACGUAUAACUCACAACCAAUACAAAUGUUUUUAUUAUAGAAUAUUGUCGAUAAAUAUAUAUUAAGCCCAAGGGCUAUGAAAUAAACAAAAACAUUUAUUGAGACAAAUUUGUGGAUGAAAUUGAAAUAGAGAAUGUAGAAAAAAUAAAAAACAAGUUGACAAAAAAGUGAUGAAAUUUAUUUUCUCAUAUUUAUUUUGUCUAUCAUUUAAUCAACCAUAUUGCAGUAAGACAUGAUUGAGGAUAAUAAAUGGAAUUUAUAAGACUAAACACGGUUAAUUACUAGGGGUUUUAAGAAUGUAACUUACUUGCUCCUCAAGCAAGGGUUUCUUAUGACGGAGGUAGCGAUAGAGUUGGUGUUUUACAGCGACCCGGGCCAAUUUCUCGGUGUCUACGUUAACGGCUCGGAGCUUGGUCAACGGACCAGGUGAUUCUUUAGGGUAGAGCUUAAUAAACUCAUCGAUUAUACUCAUAUUUAGGAUCGAAUCUCCUAAAAGUUCUAGGAUUUCGUACGAAUCACACUUAUCAUCAACGUAACUAGCGUCUGUAAACGCUUGCACCAACAAUCUCUUGUCUUUGAACUUGUAAUUUAAGAUCUUCUCCAAGGAUUCGAUCUCCAAAAGCUGGUCCGGAGCGGUUGAUCCGAUGGUUUUGGUGUUAUCUUCACCUUCGACGACUGUGUUUGAGAGUUGCGAUCCCAUAGAGACAAGAUGUUGCGUUUGAAGAGGGAGAGAGAGAGAUAGGGAGAUAUAUGUCUCUGUCUAAGUCUCUAUAGUUUUUUUUGCCUCUUGUUCUUCUUAAGUCUCCGGUUAUGAUUCCCUUUUUAUACACGUCUUCUUUGAAAUAGUUGUUAUGAUUUCAAUUUUGUUAUACUUGUCAAUAAUCUAUUAUUUUAGUUAUUUAAUAUAGUAGAUUCUCAUCAAUUUUUAGAAUAGGUCAUUAUCACAGCAGAUUUUGACUAGUUAAUUACAUAUAUAUCAUAUAUUUCCUCUGUUUGACACUAAGAAUACUUAAAUACCAUUUUAAGUUUUUGUUUUUAUAUCAUAAAUAAAUAAUAUUACAUUGUAUUUUCAAAUCCAGUUUAUAUUUUCAAUGAAGGUUAUUAGAUUAGAUAAUAAAUUGCUAAGUUUUAUUAUCUCCUAAAAAAUAAAAGGUAUAAUAUAACUAGAAAAUAGCUGUUGACAAAAAAAAAUAAAAAACUAGAAAAUAAAACCGAAACUCCCACAUGUUUGGAUUUUGGUUUCGAUGCUUUAAUCGAAGCGGACUUCCAUAAACUCUUGCCAAAAAACCUGCUUACUAUAUCCGAAUAUAGAUGCGGCGAUGCGAAUAAAAAAAAAGAAAAAAGGAAAAUCGAUAUAAUAAUCUUCGAUAUUAUUGUAUUUCGUUAUAAAAAAAAAUUGUUCCAAAUUUAAUACCAACAUAGAUAAAAAAAAAAAUAUUUUAAAAUGCAAAUUUGGUUAAUUUACAAAUCCUUUUAGGAAUAAGAAAUCUAUAAAGAAACAUCAUGUUUAGAAAUUACAAAUUUGGGGUGGAAACGGAGAAAAGAGAAACAAAAUAAAGUUGACUUUGACUUGGUAAGAUUGGGUUGUUGAGUAGGCCGUGACAAUGAAAUUGAAUACCACUCAUUGACUAAGAACAAAUAAUAAAGGAUUCUUCACUAGAAAAGAUGAAUUUGAUUAAAUAAAUGGUAAUUAAGGUAAAAAAUCUCACCAUACUUAAUAUUUGCAAAAAUGCUGUGGUAAUAUCUUCGUAAAUAAAUUAGAUUUCAUGACUUUUUUAGAACAUAGAGGUUAUUUGAUUUAGUGACACAUACCUGCAUUCCAGCUGCUUCCAAACACGAGUAAUUCAAAAUAGCCCUAUGCAUAUAAACCGUACCAAACCGAGAAACGGUAACUUCGGUUUCGAUUCGGUUAAUAGUGGAGAACCUCAAAGCAUAAAAUACAAUUCAUUCCACAGUACAAAUACGAAUAAUUGUUUAGUCGUCCUCUCAAGAACUAUAUCUAUAAGCCAUAUUUCUUACACCACAGAUUGUUUUUCAACUCCUCUAAGAGCUGAGUAAGAGAGAAAAAACAGAUCAGAAGCAACAAACAAUUGAACCCAUGAAUCCAGAAACCUGAAAAAAAUGUUACAAGUAUUCACUGAUGAUAUUGCCUUCUUAAUCAUUGUGCUUAAUCUUCUCCCUUCAAGGACUGAUCCUGAUGCUCGAAUGGAUCGAUACAACUCUGCUGGAUUGUUUGAAAGUAUUGUCUCGGUAAUAAAGAGCAGAAAAAAGAUCAACUACCCGAAGUUUUACCGGUUGUAAGAGUAACCGAAGAUGAGAAUCUGGGGACGAGUACUGCCUCGUUGCUUACGGAUUUGGAAGCUGCCAAAUCUUCCAAAAGCUUCCAUGUUGCUUCUCGUUUGGCUACAACCUCGUUUUCAUUUGCUUCAUCUUCUUGGAACUUGGCUAAGCAUUCAUCAAACAGAAUUUGGUCUGUCUCUGCCAAUACCUUUCUCACAUUCAAAGUCAGACUCUGAACUGCUUGGUUCCAAUGGCCCCGUGUGUUUCUCUCCAUAGCCGGGAAUACGAUUGGCAUUAUCACUUUAUGGUUUUGAGUAAUCAGGUUUCUUAUGUGAUCGUUGUUCCACAGAAACAGAGCCCUUUCAGCCACCUGACAAAAGAAGCAACUUUGAAUCUAACAACUCCUCUUCCUCAAACUUGCAAAAUUGCGACGCUAUAUGAACAACUUAUUUAUAGCACUACUUUUAACAAAUCAAGAGUCGAACCUGAAAAUGUGAACUGUUGAGGCAUCGGGCGAUUUGACGGAAUAAAGGAACCAUACAUCGCUGAAACUCAGCUGCUUGAGUUGCUUCCAAAACUUCUUCCAACUCCCCAAGAAACAUAACUUCCUUUGAACUGUUAGUCACAGGCCAAUACUUUAGAAGGCCUCUAAUGACGGUAUCGGCAAGCUUAAAGUCUUUCUCUACAAAUUGAACAAUGCAAUAAGAGAGCUGUUGAUGAUAGGCAGAUGCACAUUUAGGUCUGUGGAGUGGAAUCAAGGCCCGGAUUAGGAAGAGCUUAUGUUCCUCUUUUAACGGCAAAGCGAAACCGUUGAUUAUACUUCCUAGAAUCUCAAGCAACUCUGCAAUUCCGUUAUGCUUUUCAGUUUCAAAAAUGAAUCUGUAGAAGAUAUUGUUGAUGGCCUUUCUGAUAAAGGGUCGGUGUACCAUGAAUUUCCCGUAUAUCCGAUGCAGAAUGGUCUUUAGAUAUUCCCUCUCUCUUUGGUCUUCAGAGUCAAACAAAUCCAAGAGCUUCAAGACGAACGAAUGGUCAAUAUAUCUCUUUGCAAGCUUCGCGUCAGUCAUAGGCGAGGCCACAAAUCUGAGAAGAAGCUCAUAAACAACUUGAAGAUGAGGCCAAGCCGGCUCUAAAGCAGGUUCCUCAUCAUCCACAUCAAGCGUUUCAAGAAUUUUACUCUCAUGAUUCGCAGAAGGAAACGUCCUGAAAAGAUUAACCACAGCUACUUUCGCAAUCUCUUGCAUCGCAGCAUCACUCAACUUUGAAGAAACCGUUGCAAUAUAAUCAACAAGCUCCAGCAAAGUCUGUCUCUUUAUCUCUUUCUCUCUCAGAUUCUUGGACGGAUCACUAAAGUCGAAAACAACGCAACACAAACUCAACUUCUUGAUAAACAGAUUAGGUUUCUCCGAGCUAGGAACAUCUCUAAAGCUUGGCAAUGCUUCAUAAACCCCAUUGACUUGAUUCGUUCUGUUAGAACUCGUUGAGGAAGGAGCAAUAACAGUCCCAUUUGCUCCAUUCGAAUUCGAUGCUGACGAUUUCGAUGUAGGCUUCGAGAUACUAGUACCCGAAUUGGGAAUGUGAUAUGAAUUAACCCCACCUUCUCCGUUUGGAUUUGAGUCAUUAUGCGAUGAUUUCGAAGGUUUUCUGGGUAAUUUCCCAAAUAUCUGCUUGAUCAUAAUUACAGAAACCCUAAAUUAUCGCCAAUAAAAGAGCCAAAACCCCCUCUUUUUUUUCUCUACUUCGCCACAAGCCUAAACUAGUUACCAGUUAAAAACCCAAGCUUUGGUUCUAAAUGUAAACCCUAAUCAUUGAACACAGCCCUGCAUGCAGACAAAAACCCAAAAUCAAAAGCGGAAAAACAAUCUCACAACUAGAAUCAAAGAUUAACUUGAGAAAACAACAAAAAAAUGUAAACUUUGGAGAGAUAAAGAGCGAGAGGAAGAAGAAGAAGAAGAAGAAAGAGCUUACAAAUGGCAGAUGAGUAGAGAGAGAGAGAUCUGGGCACUAGAAAUGAAAUCAAAGAACCCUAAAAGAAGGAUCUUUGUGAUAAACCCUGUAAAAAAAACAGCUCCUUUUUCUUACCCUAAACUGAAUCGAGAGCAGAGGAAAGAGAAAAAGAGGAAAAGGCAACGAAGCCCAGCAAAGAGAAAAAAAAUCUGGGAAGAUACAGAACACAACACGAAGAUUAAGGUUGUAAUUAAAACAAAAAUACGAUUUUUUUUUUAAAUAAUUGUCCCUCUCCCUUCGCUAUCUCUCCUUCUGUAGAUUUUCACUGUAAAUCUCUAUACCUCUGGCUUUCUUCGGAUUCCGAAUAACAGACAUUAGAGAAUUGUUUUUUAAAAAAAUAAAAAAUUUUGAAGAGAACAAGGAAAAUGGACAGAUGGGCAGGUAGGUCAAUUUACCUUUAUGUCCCUGAUUGGAGGAGAGCGUAUGUGUGUGGAGUUUAUGCAGCAACUGGUCAAUUCGUCAAUUCACGAGUCCAAGGAUAUAAGUAAUUUGCUCAUUGGAUAAUCUUUUUUUAGAUUAUUCUGUCUAAAAAAGAUAUUGGUGGUUGAGUCGAUAGAAGCGAUGAAAUAAAUAAUUAUGCAAAAGCUAAACUGCUAAAGUGAUUAAAUCUGAAGAAAAGAGUUGAUGAAUCUACGAAAACCCAAAGCCUUUGGAUCGUUGACUAAAAUAGUUGAGUCAACGAUAAGGUUCAAGAACACUUAAAAGCAAAAAAAAAGAGAGACAUGAAUCGAAGGGAUGAUCAGUAUAAGUCUAGAAUUUCUGGAUGACGACGGCAUUAGCAAUACCAGCUUGCUCGAUGGUUUGGUCCAAGUCUGUCAAUUGUUUAGGAGGGAACCCCAUGGUUAGUAACUGAUACUCUUUGGAGCCACCGGGUCUAGAAGCGUCGAUGAACCCACGUACGUCUCUGACGGUGUGGUGGUUGUUGAACCUGGAGACAAGGCGUGUUCCGUCUGCUAAUCUGAGCUGGAUAGAGGUUGUCGGUGCUGCUGGAUCUACAACUAGCCCUCUUGAUGGUGCUGGUGCUGCGUUCAUUGGGGCGGAUGAAGCUUGUGGUGCUGAACUUGAUCCAGAUCCACUGGCUCCUAGGGUUCUUCCUACACCUUGGAAUGGAUUCUUGGGCUUUGGUGGUUCCUGUGAGUCAAGAGAUAAGAGACGUUAAAUGAAUCCUUGAAAAUAUGAUAGCAAUAUCCUACCCGAGUGGCUUAUCCAGAGAAUCGGUUAACGAGAAUAUUACUGAGAGAUGGGAAUGAGACUUACGGUGAAAUUUUCUCCACGCCUGACAAGGUCGACAUGAACAGGGAUCUUCCUAUCUGCUGGUUCGAGUUCGCUGGGGCACUCUGACCUUGAGAUGCUCUGCAAAAGACAACAUAUAUAUAUUAAGGAUUCCAAAAGUAUCCAAGUAAUUAUUAAUGAGAGAAAGAUUUGGAUAUUACAUUCAUAAAAGCUGCGUUUUCAGGAUCAGUAAACCCCCUUAACGGACCAUCAUCAACAGUGAAACCAUUCAACCAGAAAGUGAUGGUGUGCAUAAUCCUUUGAGGCUGCUCUUGCUGUUGUUGCUGAGGAGAAGACGAAACAGCUUCACCAGACAACAAUCGUGCAGCUCCAGUGAAGCUUGUAGAAGGUGCUCUUGAUGGUUCAACAGGUCUGUCUACAGCUGAUUGCCUAGCUUGGUCAAAUAGUGCAUCAACGUCUUUCGCUUUCUUAGGAUCUUGUACCAUCAUCCCACUAAAACACAUUGCACAAUCCAAAGAAAACUCUGUUAGCUACACAUAUAUAAACUUCCUCCAGCUAAACACAAGAUAUGGUCAAUCCCUACAUCAUCAUUGAUCUAUCAAUAGCAAAAUUCUUCAGAUUUUGGAAACAAUUACUCUCUUCAAGAAAGCACAUUGUUCAAAUUCAUGAUCAUUGCCCUAAUUUACCUUUCUAAACACUAUUCUCAUCUAAGUACUUCCCAAACUAUGAUCAGAUCUACUUUAACAAACAAUCAAGAAUUGAGUAGAGAGUUUUACCUCUUUUGUCCACCAGUAUAAUACUCAUUGGCUUCAUCAGAAUCACUGCCCUCACCAUCAGCCGGAGAACGGUUCAGAUCGGCGAACGUACGGAUAUUCCCAGCGUGUUGACGACUCCUAGAAGUCCGACUACCAGACGGAUUCUCACUUUCUUUAUUCUCUCCAGCACCGCCUCUCGAUCGGAGACCGUAGGGAGCAGCGCGAGAAGACGGAGAAGGAGAUCGUGAUCGCGAAGGAGAAGGAGAGGUUUCAGAAGGAGUGUAAUCGGAAGAGUGAGAUUGAGAAGGAGAUUGUGCAGCGGCAAUCGGUGGUGGUCCGGUAGGGUUUGGUUCGGCGAUUGCGGCUGCGGCGGCAUCGUUAUCGAGGAAAGUUGAAACGGCAGCGUCUAGAUUCCAACGGUGACUUUCGAGGAAGAAAGUAGCUUCUUCUCUUGAUGAAGAAGUUAUCUCGACGAAAGAGUUGAUCAGAUUCUCGUUCAUCUCCGUCGCCAUCGUCUUCUCGAAGCUUCUUCUGUUGCUAGAUUGUUUUUUUUUUUUUUUUCGUUAGCUUUCUGAUUUUUUUGCUUUCUACUAUUUUAAUUUUAAUAUAUAUAAAUAUAAGGGAAUAAUGUAUAUCUUCGGAAUAUUUUCCUUUUUUCACCCGUCAAACUUCUCUUAACAUAGGUUUCGAAUCAACGAGACAACGACCACUUUAAUGGGCCCAAAGGCUUGGCCUUUUUAAACUCUCUAAGGCCUUUUUACAAAAUUAGGGGUUUUUAUUAUAUAAACAUCUAAAUUCUCCCAAGAAAGCAAACUAUGGCCGUAAACGGAGCGGAUAUCCGGUUUUUUUAGGAUAUCCGUAUCUGUAUCUGUAUCCGUAUUAUCCGCUAAUUUGGUAUCUGUAUCCGGAUCCGAAAUUCCGGAUAUCCGGUAUCCGGAUAUUCGUUAAAAAUCCGGAUAUCCGCGAAUAUCCGGAAAUAGUGUUUUUUUUUUUUGGUAAACCGGAAAUAGUAUUUUAAAAUCCUAAAUUCAUUAAUAUCAUACAUAAAAAGCUUUAAAAAAUCACAAAAUAGCUAGAAGUUGAUUAUAUAUACAAAACAUUACAAAAACAAAAAAUUUAUUAAAGUAGCAAAAAGUUUAAAAGAUUCAAAUGAUGUUCUUAAAAAAAAGACAUUAAUCAACUUCUUAAAUCCUUCUUAAAAAUUUAUUUUUAUUUUUUGUCAUAUGAUUUAUUUAUUAACAUUAAAAAUAAAAUAAAAACAAUUAAAAAAGUUGGCUUACAAGUUUUUUUGGGCUAUAACACUUGAAAAUGGACUCAUGAAAGGCUUUUAAGUAUUUUUUUUCCCGGAUAUCCGUUAUCCGUUUCUAAUUUUAAGAGCAUCCGUAUCCGUAUCCGUUUUUCCGGAUCAAAAACCGGAUACGGAUACGGAUAUUCGCGGAUAGCGGAUAUUAAUCUCAGGCCUAAAGCAAACAUAGAAGGAACAACACUCUGUUUUUUUUUUUUUUUUUGUCAAAGGAAACAACACUCUGUUGCUGGCUUGCUGCCUUUGUAUAAGAACUCGUUUACAUUGAUUAUUAGCUCGGGUUCAUCGUGGAACGUCAGAGAACGGCCGGGGAAAAGAGUCCACUAACCACUAACGACUGCUUCAAGUCAAACCGUGACUAUACAAAAACGGAAAAACCCAAUAACUUGCUAGGGAUGAGUAUCACUAUAUAUAGUCAUGCUAGAUCACACAAGUUGUCAAGAAGAUGACUGAGAAAUGAUUUGCGGAAUUCUUCCCCGCCGAAGCUCCGGAAAAAAUCGUAUUUACAAGUGCUAGAAAUAUCAAAAGCCAUGGAAAAAGGAUGGAGAAGAGAUCAAAAUUUCGCAAGUAAAAAAAUGUGAAAAGGAGAAAAUUUGUCGUUAAGACCGACCCAUAGUUUUACGAUGCCUAAAAUCUAAAAGAAUUUGAUUCCCAUUAUGAAAAAAAUUACAAAUUUAUUAAAAUUUUGUGGGAAUAAGACUCGAUCUCGUCAUCUUCCAGCUACAGAAAAAAAAAAAAGUCAAUUACCACUACACUAUAAGACAUUUUUACAAAUUAAAUACGCCUUAAGAUUUUACUAUAAAACACCAGCUUGUUGUUCUUUACAUCAGAACCAGACCUGCUUGUCGUUGAUUGAUUCGAAUACUUGGGAUAUUUUGAGUCAAUCAACUUCAAACUAGAAAUAUUAAAUUGAAAGGCAAAAGAAAAGAGAAAUCAUAGGCGAUAGGCCAUAAUUUAUAAUUGAGAAAAAAGGACAUAGUUUAUAAUCACCGUAACGAACUCAUCACAAGACAUACAUUUCAUCCGAAGUAUACAAAUUUCAUUUUGGUAAAGGCAAUAUAUAUAAAUUAUCAAAGCAUUUUUCCAGAUAUAUUUUUUUUCAUCUGAUCAAUACUUAAAUGUAAAAUAUAUUGUAUCAAAUAAUAUUGUUUGUUCAAUAGAAUAACAUGUUUUUUUUUUAUAAACUUAGAAUAACAUGUUUUGUUGAUAUAACAUUAUAUUUUAUGUUUGUUUACAUAAAAUAACAUGUUACACGUUACUUUUCAAUAUUUCUUUUAUUGUAUAGUAAGUGUGUACUAUCCAAAGUAGGUUUGGGCAUAAAAUCCGAAAACCGAUCCGAAACCAAUCCGAAAAAUCCGGUUCCGAACCCGAACCGAAUAGUCACAAAACCCGAACGGAUAAUGAAUUCUCCUAUCCGAAUUAUCCGAACCGAACCCGAUCCGAACCGAAAACCGAAAAUAAAAUUAUAUAUCCAAAAAUAUUAGUUAUAUUUAGCUAUAAUUUUAUAACAAAUAACAAAAUAUUCUAAAUAACCUAGAUAUUGGAAAUUUUUAGUUAUAUUUGUUAAUACAUAUUUUUGUAAAACUUUGUCAAAUUUUAGUAAAAUUAAACUAUUUUUUAUUUAAAUUGAACAUUUUUUAGUUUUUUUCUUUCUCGAAAACCGAUCUGAAACCAAUUUGAAUCCGACACUAUCCGAACCGAACCCGAUCCGAAUAGUCAUAAAAUCCGAAUGGAUAAUAAACUAUCCUACCAGAAUUAUCUGAAUCCGAAUAAAUUCAAACCGAAUCCGAUCCGAAAUCCGAAUGUCCAGGCCUAUUAAUAUAUAUGUAUAUCUAUAUAUAUAUAUAUCCCACCAAAACAAAUAAAAUCAAGAAAGAAAAUAAUAAUAUACCCAAGAUUCAAUUUGCUAGGCGCGCGCCAAUAGAACAUUUAUAAAGGAACCAAGUAUUUGGAGGUUAAUCAGAUAUUUUACUUUCCAUAUUUUUAUAUAUAUUAUGUUAAUGUGAAAAUAAAAAACACGAUGUUAAAAAAUGAUAUCCAACCAACGAUGAGUUGACCUAAUGGUCAAAUUUCUUGGUUUCCAAAAAUGUAGAAAUCUUGGAAAUCACGGAUUAGGAAGGAUCUGUUCUCCAAAGAAAUGUUAAAUUUCAUGGUUUGGGCUUCGUCCUAAGAGAUGUAUGGGCCUACGGGAUCAUAACCUCCUAAUCAUAAUAUAUACAUUAUAUAUAUUUGAUAUAUAUAUAUAUAUAUAUAUAUAUAUAUAUCAUAUCAUUUUUAUUAGUUUUAUAAGAAAAUUAAAAGUAAGUAUAAAUAUAUUUGAUCGUUAGCCUAAGCCAAUUAAGCGGGCACAUAAAUCUAAAAAGAUUGUUGAUUUUUCGUUGGAAUAGGCCAUGUAUGAAACUUCCAGUGUUUGGCCAGGGAAACAACGAAUUUUCGUAGAACAUUGAUAAUACCUAUUUCAAAAAUGUAAACAAGGAAAGAUAUCUUGAAAAUAAGAAAAACAUAGGAAAAAUAAACAAAAACAUACAAAGAAGGGAAAAUUUGGUUUUCAAUAUAUAUAACAAAUAUCUCUUUUAGGAGAUGCUCAACUGCAAGCAUUCAGUUUUCUACUAGUCUGAGUAUAUUUUUGGUAAAAAUAUUUCCAAUUAAUUAUGACUCAUAUAUAUAUGUGCAUAGGGUUGUCUUGCAAUCAGUGCAAGUCUCUACUCUGGUAUUUGGUAGAAAAAAAAAAGACACUUCUAAGAUAAAGAUUAAGGGCAAAUAUUUUGAAGGAAGGUGAGAGGGAAGCAAUGGAGGAUGAGAAAAGCAAGAAGAGUAGAGUGAAAGAUGAAAAAGUGUCAUUUUACAAGCUUUUCUCGUUUGCUGACAGAAAUGACGUAGUUUUGAUGACUGUCGGGACCAUCUCCGCCGUGGCCAAUGGCCUAACUCAGCCGCUUUUGACUCUACUAUUCGGCCAGCUCAUCAACGCAUUUGGCUCCUCUGAAAUCUUUCAAGAAGUCUCCAAGGUAACUUCUUAAUCUUUGAAGAAAUCUUUGUUUGUUCAUAUACUGAUGAGUUAAGAUUCAUGUAUCGUGUAAAUCUUGUUAUCUUACUUAGUUGUCCCUGGAUUUAAGUUUAAACUAUUAGAAACGAUUUAUCAAAUUGUUGAUCAUCAUUAUCAGAACAGAAAACUUAGUUAUCAUCAUAUUCAUAUACAUAGACAUUCGUGUAUUUUAUUUAUUUUUUUUUUUUUCCAAUUUCUUAAUUAAUUGCAACUAGGAAAUAUAUCCAAACUUUAUCAUCAUGUCAUUUUCCUAUAUUUUCUAAUAUACACUUACCUUAUAAACAUAUAUAUAUAUAUAUAUAUAAAGUAUUUGUAUAUAAAAGGUACUCUUAGUUGUCUUUUAUAAUGUUUUCAAAUUCAAAUUGUUCUUCUUAACCUGGAAUAAUAAUUUAUUUUGUUCUUAUUUUACAUAUCUUUCAAAUCAUAUCAAUUUUUCAUUUUAUUUCUUUAAAUUAUUUCAUUUUCCGUAUAUUUUCAUUAUCAUCAUUUCAUAUUUGUCUAUAUAUUCUAUUACAUAUACCGAUAUACGUUUGGUUUAAAGAUUUCUCGGAAUUCAGAAUUUUCUGAUAUAUAUGUUUCCGAUAUGGUUAUGGUUUGUUUUCAAUCACAGUGAUUGAAUCACAAAAAAAAAAAAAAAACUAAUAAUAUAAAUGGUCAACAAGUCGGUUGGACACUUCACUAAGAUAUUUAUAAAUUUAGUUCAAUAAAAUUUUAAAAUAUAUAAGAAAACUAAAUAUUCUGUUAAGAAAAAAUUGAAAAUUUUGAAACUAAUUGGCGCCUAAACCAUUUAGACAUAAACAAAUCUCCAACUCCAACAUCCGACUAUUUUACAAUUUUAAUUGUUUCAUAUAUUUCUAUAUAGAUAGAUAACCUUUCGCAUAAUGAAAAUAACCUCAUAAUAAAUAUUGUAAUUUUCACAAUAGAUAAAUGAGUUUGAAUCUCUUACUAUCUACAUUGAUUUAGUAUUUGCAAUCCAUUACUGCUUCUUAUGUUACUUUUACCGGGGAACAAAUAUUCAGAUUGCAGUGAAGAUUCUUUACCUUGCGGUGUAUGCCUGUGUCUUCUCUUUUCUGCGUAAGUCCACACUUGUUCUUAUUUCCUCCCCUGAUCAGGUUUGCCCUAACUUGGUGUCCAAGUUAACCUAUGUAAUUGUCUUUUAUGCAGAGGUUUCAUGUUGGAUUGUGACUGGAGAGCGUCAAUCCUCCAGAAUUCGCAAUCUAUACCUGAAGACGAUAUUGAGACAAGACAUUGAGUUCUUCGACACUGAGACAAACACAGGAGAAGUCAUCGGAAGAAUGUCUGGAGACACCAUUUUGAUUCAAGAAGCCAUGGGAGAAAAGGUUUUUGAGUUUUAUAUUCUGAAGUUUUGUUGUAGAAAGAGACGCUAAAACAAAACUGAUUGUUUUUAUAUAUUAUGCAGGUCGGGAAAUUUAUACAAUUAAUAUCAACCUUCAUUGGUGGAUUUGUGGUUGCUUUUAUAAGGGGAUGGGAACUCACUUUGGUUCUUAUGGCGUGCAUUCCGUUGAUCGUGGCCGUUGGUGCAACAAUGGCACUGACCAUGUCUAAAAUGGUUGGGAAUAGACAAGCCGCUUACGGGGAAGCUGGAAACGUAGUAGAACAAGCCGUAGGUGCCAUUAGAACAGUAAGUUUUCGCCUUUGAAAUCCUCGUGUUUUAGCUUGUACAGGAAUUAAGAGAUUGGAUUUCAGGUGGCAGCGUUCACGGGGGAGAAACAAGCGAUAGAAAAAUAUAACAAAAAGCUCGAGAUUGCUUAUAAGACUACGGUUAAACAAGGGCUAGUCUCGGGUCUAGGCCUCGGGGCUAUGUUGUUUGUGAUCUUCUCUAGCUACGGUUUCGCGGUUUGGUACGGUGCCAAGUUAAUAAUGGAGAAAGGUUACAAUGGUGGACAAGUCAUGAACGUGAUUUUUUCGGUCCUGACUGGUGGGAUGUGAGGAUACAUUCAUCUCAUAGAUAAUUACUUGUCCUAAAAGCAAUCUUGUGCUGCUAAAAGCCCUAAUUCUUACAUAUUUCACUUUGUAGGUCAUUAGGAGAGACAUCUCCGUGUCUUAAUGCUUUUGCUUCUGGACAAGCUGCAACCUUCAAAAUGUUCAAGACAAUCAAGAGGAACCCAAAGAUUGAUGCUUAUGACGCAACCGGUGUAGUCUUGGAGGAGAUUCGAGGAGACAUCGAGUUGAGAGACGUGCAUUUCCACUACCCGGCGAGACCUGACGUGCCGAUUUUCUCUGGAUUCUCCUUGUUUGUACCGAGCGGCACGACUAUGGCUCUGGUGGGGCAGAGCGGGAGCGGGAAGUCUACAGUGAUCAGUUUGAUUGAAAGAUUCUAUGAUCCAAUAUCAGGGGAGGUGCUAAUAGACAACAAUGAUUUAAAGAAGCUUCAACUAAAAUGGAUCAGAAGCAAGAUUGGUCUUGUAAGCCAAGAGCCUAUACUCUUCGCCACAACAAUAAGAGAGAACAUUGCAUAUGGAAAAGAAGACGCAACUGAUCACGAGAUUAAAACCGCGACUGAGCUCGCUAACGCAUCUCAAUUCAUUGGGAAUUUUCCAGAGGUAUUUGAAUUUUUGCAGCUAAUUAUAGCUAGAACUUAGAAUCAUAUAGUUGAGUUCAUAUUUUCAUGAAAACUUUGGGUUUUUUUUUCUAGGGGUUAGACGCAAUGGUAGGAGAGAAUGGGACACAAUUAUCUGGUGGACAGAAACAGAGGAUCGCUAUCGCGAGAGCGAUUCUGAAAAACCCGAAAAUCCUUCUACUAGAUGAAGCUACAAGCGCUUUAGAUGCAGAAUCUGAACACAUUGUUCAGGAUGCGCUAGUGAACCUAAUGGCUUAUCGAACCACCGUCGUGGUGGCUCACAGGCUGACGACUAUAAGAACAGCAAACACAAUAGCUGUUGUGCAAGAGGGAAAAAUCGUCGAGAAAGGUAUAUUUUUGACGAAAGUGAUCAAGUUUGAUAUGUAUAAUCAAAGCAUAUGGUAUAAUGGUUUUAUGGUGUUACAUAGGAACUCACGAGGAAAUGAUUCAAGAUCCAGAGGGAGCGUAUUCACAACUUGUUCGUCUACAAGAAGGAUCAAAGGAAGGAACAAGAAUUAAAGAACCAGAGAGUUAUGACAUUGAUAUGUCAGUUGGUCAAACCGGAAGUUAUAGGCUCUCAUCAACGGUGAGUAAGAACACUAUGAGAAGUCGCUUGAAUGAUGAACAUCACGAGGGUAGCUCUUACGAAAACAAAACCGCUGAAAAGAAGCACGAGAAAGUAUCGUUGAGACGGCUUGCUCACCUCAAUAAGGCAGAGAUUCCGGUUCUGUUGCUUGGUUCAGUGGCUGCUAUGGUUCAUGGCACAAUGUUUCCAGUCUUUGGUUAUCUACUAUCAAGCUCCAUCAACAUGUUCUUUGAACCUGCUGAUAAAUUGAAGAAAGAUGCACGUUUCUGGACGCUCAUUUACAUCAUACUUGGUUUGGUCAAUUUGGUAGCAGUUCCAAUCCAAAACUAUUUCUUCGGUAUCGCCGGGGGAAAACUGAUCAAACGCAUCAGAUGGAUGACGUUUGAUAAAGUCUUACACCAAGAGAUUAGUUGGUUCGAUAAUACCUCAAAUUCUAGGUAUAUAAUUGUUUUAUAAAUAAAAACCUCACUAUUUUUUUGGAUGAACCAAAAAAGUUGGUUUGUUUCAUAUUUCAUUUUGUCCAGUGGUGCUAUUGGAGCAAGGUUGUCAACGGAUGCUUCAACAGUGAGAAGUCUGGUUGGUGAUGCUUUGGCUAUGAUCGUCGGAAGUAUAACGAAUGUUACCGCUGGUUUGGUAAUAGCGUUUGUGGCUAAUUGGAUGCUAGCUCUCAUUGUUCUUGCUAUUUCACCGAUUAUAUUUAUCCAAGGAUACCUUCAGACUAAGUUUCUCAGCGGUUUUAGCGAAGAUGCAAAAGUUAGUCUUCAACGUUUUGGCUUAAUCCCAUAAACUAGUUUGAUCAUUGUUUGUUGACCUAAUUUACUUUGGUUCAGAUGAAGUAUGAAGAGGCAAGCCAGAUUGCAAAUGAUGCCGUGAGCAGCAUAAGGACAGUAGCAUCCUUCUGCGUGGAGAAAAAAGUGAUGAACUUAUAUGAGAAAAAAUGCGAGGGACCGAAGAAACAAGGUGUUAGGUUAGGAAUCGUGAGUGGUUUGGGUUACGGUUUCUCAUUCUUUGCCCUCUAUUGCAUCAAUGCGUUAUGUUUCUUUAUCGGUUCAUUGUUGAUUCAACACGGGAAAGCCACAUUUAGAGAAUUCUUCAUCGUAAGAGCCAAGCCAAACCAAAUUCAUCUUACAUUUGGUUUAGUUCUUUUUUUUUUUUUUUUUAUAUGAUUUUGAGUUUUGUAUGUUGUAGGUUUUCUUUGCACUAACGGUCACCGCAAUAGGAAUAUCUCAAACGAGUGCGAUGGCGCCUGACAUGACCAAAGCCAAAGACUCCGCAGCUUCAAUUUUUGAUAUUCUUGAUAGUAAACCGAAGAUCGACUCGAGUUCAGAUGAAGGAACAACGUUAGAAAUUGUUAAGGGCGACAUCGAGUUCCAACACGUUAGCUUCCGUUACCCGACGCGGCCAGACGUUAAUAUUUUCCUAGAUUUGUGCUUGACUAUCCCCUCCGGCAAGGUAACAAUGUCAUAAAAACAGAGUAUUUCUCGGUUUAGUCAUAUACCAAAGGGUUAACACAUUCUGUUUUGUUUUCUUUGGUUUUGUAGACCGUUGCAUUGGUGGGAGAGAGCGGGAGUGGGAAAUCGACGGUGAUAAGCAUGAUUGAGAGAUUCUAUGACCCGGAUUCAGGCAAGAUUCUUCUAGACCAAGUCGAGAUUCAAACAUUCAAAUUGAGUUGGCUAAGACAACAAAUGGGUCUAGUUAGCCAAGAACCAAUUCUCUUCAAUGAGACAAUUAAAUCAAACAUUGCUUAUGGCAAAACCGGAGGAUUCACUGAGGAAGACAUCAUAUCCGCAGCAAAAGCAGCCAAUGCACAUAACUUCAUCAGCUCAUUGCCUGAAGGGUACGAAACUUCUGUAGGAGAACGCGGCGUUCAACUAUCAGGUGGUCAGAAACAGAGAAUUGCUAUCGCUCGUGCGAUUCUUAAAGACCCUAAGAUUCUUCUGCUAGACGAAGCGACAAGCGCGCUAGACGCAGAGUCUGAGCGGGUGGUGCAAGAUGCACUUGAGAGGGUUAUGGUGAACCGAACCACAGUGGUGGUGGCUCACCGGCUUAGUACGAUCAAGAACGCAGAUGUGAUCGCAGUUGUUAAAAAUGGUGUGAUUGCGGAGAAAGGAAGACAUGAGAGGCUCAUGAAGAUUUCUGGUGGUGCGUAUGCUUCGCUUGUAGCGCUUCAUAUGAGUACCAACUGAGACUAACCAGCUAUGUGAUCGCUUAAUGUGUUUUACCCUUUUUACUUAUGUAUCUUGUGUGUUUGUUUUGAUUGUAGUCUAGCUGUUUUGGCAUUUGUUAUGAACUCAUUCCGAGAGUUUUUUUACAUUGAAUCUAUAAUAAACUCAAACAUAGCUUGAUUUACUUGGAAUAAAGUGAGUUUGAGGAAUAAGACAUAAAGGAUGUCAAAAAUUUCUCUAAUUAGAUAUUGAGUCUUGACGGUCCAUAAUCAAAUAACAAAAAAGGGAGAAAAGUUGGAGGAUGUUAGAAUAGUAGAGAAAAAUGAUAUGAGAUUCCAAGUUUGAUCAUGUAUUAUUGAGAUUACAUAUUUUGUGGGAGGAAUAAUUCUAUGACAAGCAAAUUAUUUUGUUAAUUUUUUUGGCUAAAGCAUGCUUUCUGCCAUGAAGUGUUUUUUUUUUUUUUAAACCUUCAGUUGUCAAGUUACAAAAAAAAAAAAAAAAAAAAAAAAAAAAAAUCUACAACAAACUAUUUGAACAAAAUAAUAUUAAAACUUUUAGCAGGAGUUUGACCGAUACUGAUAACCAUUACGGGCCUGGCCCAGAUAGAUGCGGCCCGGCCAAUUUGAUAUCUCUAAUUUCUGAGUAACUCCGUAACCACGUGCUUAAGGACAACACUCCGCUUACUUCAUUGGUUUCUUUUAUUUCCUACUAGUAUUAAGCCCGUACAUUCGUACGGGCGAAAUUUAUUUGAUGAUAAAUAACUGUAAUUUCCGUUUUCAAACGUAAGUGUGGGUUAGUCACAUUAAUACAUAUAUGAUCAAAAUUUAACAUUAAAGAGAUUGAAGGAAAUUAUUCAACGUACAAUUUCAAUAACUAAUAACUUCUCAACAAUGAUCAACCUCAAUCGUACUGAACGCUAAUUAAAAAAUUAUGUGAUACCAAACAUUCAAUGGUCCUAUCACAAGAAUCAACAAUGGCCUAUAAGUUUUAAAUCACCACAAUGCUUUUCAGAAUGCCGUAGAUAUGUAUCGACGUUAGCUUUUUGUUGUACGUGGUGAAACGCCACCCUUAGCGAGUUUCUAAUUAGAGAUGUGGUGGCGAAACAAUUUGAGAUCUUAUGGUCAGUCGGGAGAUUCAGUGGCUUGAUACACAUGUUUGAGAACCUUGUUUUCAACUAUCACUUUCUCCGGGAGCUCUUAUGUCUAACUUGUUGCUGCCCAAAAAAAACCGAAGUUCAGAAAACCAGAGAACCGAUAGUGAGAUAUACAAAUGAAAAGAGAGAUAUCCUUUUCCAACAGAGAACAGAGAUAUUUGGUCGAGUAAUCUACAAAAGGGAUGUAUAAAACAAAGAGAAGUAAAUCAGAAAAAAUUGUGGUUCAGAGAAUCUAACUACAGAUCGAGUAAUUAUUGCUGCUUUUUACGUUCGUUAUGAAUAAUGUUUUGAACAUGGGGUCACUUAUAACAAAAAAGCAGUAAUCGACAUAUCUAGUAAAAUCAAACUAUUUAUAUAUAAAUAGAUAAAAAUCAAAACAGAGAGAAAAGCAAUAUGUUGAUUACAUGUUCGUCUAAAAAAAAAUUCAGAUUUUAUGGUGAUUUGGAUUAUUGGGAUCACCUUAUGAGAGGAGGAGGAAGACGACCAGAGGUGGAAAGUUGGAAUGAAUGAACUGUGAGGAUGAAAUAAGAAUUUGGUGUUAAGGGAUCAUGUUCGGCUGUCGAGCAGGAAAGACAGUUCUAUAAUAGUAACAAUAAUUUUUUUAUGGUGAUUUGGAUAAAGUGAAGGGAGAAACAAUUGUGAUAAUCGAUUGUGUCAUUGUGUGAUAUAUAUACAUGGUGAUUUGAUGAAACUGAUGAGAGUAGGAAGUUAAAUUUGGGGAUCGUGGAAUGCAAAGAGGAGAACGUGGGAUUUUGUUUCCCAAUUUAAAAGAAAGAAAUUGGUCUCGACAAAGGUAAGAAAACAAUAGUGAAACAAAUAAAGAGUGAGAUCGUGCCUUUUUUAUUGACUUGAGGAAAACUGAAAAAAAGAAAAAUAUUAAUUAAUUAAUUAAUUUUCUGUAGAGUUUUGAUCUUAAAAGUGAAAGAAUUGGGAUUUAUGACAGAUGUCAGAUAGAAAGAGUUGCAGUUAUUUAUAAAAUGACUUGUGAAUUAUUAGAUAAGGAUGUGAUGUGAUAUCAUAAAAGUAAAACACAUAAUGCUCAAAAAAUACAAAGGGGGCAAAACAGUGAGAAGAUUGAAGAAUUGGGGGUUGCUUAUGUGUUUUAACACAAAUUUCGACCAAAAAUUGAGACUCUCUAAGUUAUUUUGGUGCUCGAUUUUUGUUUAAAGAGUGUGCUUUUUGCAAUUGCAAGGGUUUUGAUGGGUUCGAAUCUCGGUUGAUCGGCUUUGUUAUUUGCAAUGUCAAGUGUUUCGGUUGGUUUGAAUCUGGUUUUCCUGUUCGAUUUCAAUUGCUGCGAGUCUAAGGUUUGAUUUUUUGUUAAAAUCUGGUUUUAGAGUGGCUGCUUCGUUUUGGUUAUAGUGUUAAUUGUACUCAGAGUCUGGUUCGAUUGCGGUUUCCGCCGUUUGAUGAUGAAGAGCCGGUGUUGGAUUAUGCGGGUAAUUUGAUGGAUGUUGAUCCUUUGGAGCCUAUUUAGUUGGAGCUUGAUUUGGAGGAUGAUUCUUGUGUGUAUAAUUGGUUUUAUGAUCAUAAGCCACUUUUGAAGACGAAUAUGAUCAAUGGUCCGAGUGACAAGAGGUGGAAUCUUUCACUUCCGAUUAUGGCAACGCUUCAUAGGCUUGCGGGUCAGUUGCUUUCUGAUUUGGUUGAUAGAAACUAUUUCUACUUGUUUGAUAUGCCAUCGUUCUUCACAGCAAAGGCAUUGAAUAUGUGUAUACCUGGUGGUCCUAAGUUUGAACCUUUGUAUCGUGAUAUGGAGAAAUAUGACGAGGAAUGGAACGAGUUUAAUGAUAUCAACAAGGUUAUCACUCGAUCACGGCUGCGUACUGAAGGCAGAAUUGCUUUCCCUUACUUGUACAAUAACAGGCCAAGGAAAGUCAAACUAUGUGCGUAUCACACUCCAAUGGUUAUGUUCAUUAAGACAGAGGAUCCUGAUCUUCCUGCGUUUUAUUAUGAUCCGUUGAUUAACCCAAUAAGUAACACUUUUCAUGACAGGAAGGUAUGUGAUGAUGAUGAGGAUGACUUUGUAUUACCUAACGGAGUGGAGCCUCUGCUACAAGAGACUCAGCUUUACACUGACACUACAACUGAUGGGAUUUCGUUGUUGUUUGCCCCAAGACCUUUCAAUAUGAGGUCUGGGAAGACGCGACGGGCAGAAGAUAUACCGUUGGUGUCAGAGUGGUUCAAGGAGCACUGUCCAACAUCACAUCCAGUCAAAGUUCGGGUUAGUUACCAGAAGCUUUUGAAAUGUUAUGUGCUGAAUGAUUUGCACUGUAGACCACCUAAACCUCAGAAGAAAAAGCACUUGUUCCGGUCUCUUGCAGGUACAAAAUUUUUCCAAAGCACUGAACUUGAUUGGGUUGAAGCUGGUCUGCAAGUUUGUCGGCAGGGGUAUAAUAUGUUGAAUCUGUUGAUUCAUAGGAAGGGUUUGAAUUACCUGCAUCUUGAUUACAACUUCAACCUCAAGCCUGUUAAGACUUUGACGACUAAAGAGCGUAAGAAGUCACGUUUUGGGAAUGCUUUUCAUCUCUGUCGCGAGAUUCUCCGCCUGACUCGUGGUUGACGCAAAUGUCCAAUUCCGUCUUGGGAAUGUUGAUGCCUUCCAAUUGGCUGAUGGCCUGCAAUAUAUUUUCUCCCAUGUUGGCCAGUUGACAGGUAUGUAUCGUUAUAAGUACAGACUGAUGAGACAAAUUAGGAUGUGUAAGGAUUUAAAACACUUGAUCUAUUACCGUUUCAAUACUGGUCCUGUGGGUAAAGGACCAGGGUGUGGAUUUUGGGCUCCAAUGUGGAGAGUGUGGUUGUUUUUCCUCCGUGGAAUAGUUCCUUUACUUGAACGAUGGUUAGGGAAUCUUCUUGGACGUCAAUUUGAGGGGCGUCACUCAAAAGGAAUGGCAAAGACCGUCACAAAACAAAGAGUCGAAAGCCAUUUUGAUUUGGAGCUUCGAUCUGCUAUCAUGCAUGAUAUCGUUGAUGCCAUGCCAGAGGGAACCAAGCAGAAUAAAGUGAGGACAAUAGAACAGCACCUUAGCGAGGCAUGGCGGUGUUGGAAAGCUAAUAUCCCGUGGAAGGUCCCUGGACUGCCUCUGCCAGUUGAGAAUUUGAUCCUCCGAUAUGUGAAGCAUAAGGCUGAUUGGUGGACAAAUAUUACUCACUUCAAUCGUGAGCGUAUCAGAAGAGGGGCUACUGUUGAUAAGACAGUUUGUAGAAAGAAUCUUGGAAGGUUGACUCGUCUUUGGUUAAAGGCAGAACAGGAAAGACAAUACAAUUACCUGAAAGACGGUUCACCUGUCACUCCGGACGAAGCUGUGGCAACUUAUAGAACGACCCAAGAGUGGCUGGAAGCUAGGAGAUUUUCACCAAUUCCAUUCCCUCCUCUGUCGUACAAACACGAGACAAAGUUGCUCAUCCUCGCCCUUGAGAGACUGAAAGAAUCAUGUGGAGGUGAAAGGUUGAACCAGCAGCAGCGAGAAGAGCUUGGUCUAAUUGAACAAGCUUAUGACAACCCGCAUGAAACUCUAGCGCGAAUUAAACGUCAUCUUUUCACGCAGCGUCAGUUCAAAGAAGUGGGCAUUGAGUUUAUGGAUCUCUACAGCUAUGUGAUUCCGGUCUAUGAAAUUGAUCCUUUAGAGAAAAUUACGGAUGCCUAUCUUGAUCAAUACUUGUGGUACGAGGCUGACAAGCGCCACUUGUUUCCCAACUGGAUUAAGCCUGCAGACUCAGAGCCGCCACCUCUUCUGGUUUACAAGUGGUGUCAGGGUAUCAACAAUUUGCAAGGCAUAUGGGACACAUCUGAUGGACAGUGUGUGGUGAUGCUCCAGACAAAGUUGGAAAAGUUGUUUGAGAAGGUUGAUUUCACAUUAUUAAACAAGCUUCUUCGUUUGAUUGUUGACCCCAGUAUUGCAGACUACGUGACUGCCAAGAAUAAUGUGGAUCUGUCUUAUAAAGAUAUGAGACAUACUAACUCGUAUGGUCUCAUUAGAGGACUUCAAUUCUCAUCCUUUGUUACUCAGUUUUAUGGACUAGUGCUUGAUCUUUUGCUUCUUGGUUUGACUCGAGCGAACGAGAUUGCUGGGCCACCGCAGAAGCCUAACGAGUUUAUGACCUAUUGGGAUACAAAAGUUGAAACACGCCAUCCCAUAAGACUAUAUUCUCGGUAUGUAGACAAAGUGCACAUAAUGUUAAAAUUUACCCAUGAAGAGGUUCGAGAUCUUAUUCAACGGUAUCUUAGGGAGCAUCCUGAUCCCAAUAAUGAGAACAUGGUGGGAUAUAACAACAAGAAGUGCUGGCCGAGAGAUGCAAGGAUGAGGUUGAUGAAACAUGAUGUCAAUCUUGGUAGAAGUAUCUUCUGGGAAAUGAAGAACCGUCUUCCUCGGAGCCUUACAACUUUUGAGUGGGAGAAUAGCUUUGUCUCUGUGUACAGCAAGGACAAUCCUAAUCUGCUGUUCAGCAUGUGUGGAUUUGAAAUCCGCAUACUUCCAAAAGCCAGGAUGAGCCAAGAAGCUUUCAGCAACAUAGGGGAUGGUGUGUGGAAUCUACAGAAUGAACAGACAAAAGAGAAGACUGCAGUUGCUUUUCUGCGAGUUGAUGAAGAACAAAUUAAGGUGUUUGAGAAUCGUGUGAGGCAAAUUUUAAUGUCGUCAGGGUCGGCCACAUUUACCAAAAUCACCAAUAAAUGGAACACAGCUUUGAUAGGUCUCAUGACUUACUUUCGUGAAGCCACUCUACAUACGCCAGAGCUCAUUGAUCUGUUGGUUAAAGGUGAAAGUAAAAUCCAAACAAGGAUUAAGAUUGGGCUGAAUUCAAAGAUGCCUAGUCGAUUUCCUCCUGUUGUUUUUUACACCCCGAAGGAACUCGGUGGGCUUGGAAUGUUGUCUAUGAGUCAUAUACUGAUCCCAGAAAGUGACCGUCGGUACAGCAGACAAACAGACGUUGGUGUUACCCACUUUAGGAGUGGAAUGAGUCAAGAAGAGGAUCUGAAGAUACCCAAUCUUUACCGUUACAUACAGCCAUGGGAAAGUGAGUUUAUUGAUUCACAGCGUGUGUGGGCAGAGUAUGCUUUAAAGAGGCAGGAAUCACAAGCCCAAAAUAGACGUCUUACACUUGAGGAUCUGGAAGACUCCUGGGAUAGGGGAAUUCCGCGUAUAAACACGCUUUUUCAGAAGGAUAGGCACACAUUAGCAUAUGAUAAAGGUUGGAGAGUCCGGACUGACUUCAAGCAGUACCAAGUCCUGAGACAAAAUUCUUUCUGGUGGACUCAUCAGAGGCAUGAUGGGAAGUUGUGGAACCUGAACAAUUAUCGAACUGAUGUAAUCCAAGCUCUUGGAGGUGUUGAGAGUAUUCUUGAGCACACCUUAUUUAAGGGAACAUACUUCCCAACAUGGGAGGGUCUUUUCUGGGAGAAGGCAUCUGGGUUCGAGGAGUCAAUGAAAUAUAAGAAGCUGACGAAUGCACAGAGGUCUGGUCUGAACCAGAUUCCUAAUAGAAGAUUCACGCUCUGGUGGUCGCCAACAAUCAAUCGAGCAAAUGUUUAUGUCGGUUUCCAAGUGCAGUUGGAUCUAACUGGAAUAUUCAUGCAUGGAAAGAUUCCUACCCUUAAGAUAUCUUUGAUUCAGAUUUUUCGUGCCCAUAUGUGGCAAAUGAUCCACGAGAGCGUUGUUAUGGAUCUUUGCCAAGUAUUGGACCAACAUAUGGAUGAGAUGGGGAUAGAUAUUGUGCAGAAGGAGACAAUUCAUCCAAGGAAGAGUUACAAAAUGAAUAGCUCUUGUGCUGAUAUUCUUAUGUUUGGUGCCUCUAAAUGGCCAAUGUCGAAGCCAAGUCUGGUGACCGACUCGAAUGAUAUGUUUGAUCAGAAAGCUAGUAAGAAAUAUUGGAUAGAUGUACAGCUUCGAUGGGGAGAUUAUGACUCUCAUGACAUUGAACGUUACACUAGGGCCAAGUUCAUGGAUUAUACAACGGAUAACAUGUCUAUCUAUCCAUCUCCGACAGGUGUGAUGAUUGGGAUUGAUUUGGCAUACAAUGUGUAUUCUGCUUUUGGUAAUUGGUUCCCUGAUUCAAAAUCUUUGAUUGCUAAAGCAAUGAACAAGAUUAUUAAGUCAAAUCCGACAUUAUAUGGGUUGAGAGAAAGGAUAAGGAAAGGUUUGCAGCUAUACUCAUCUGAGCCUACAGAGCCAAAUUUGUCAUCUCAAAACUAUGGCGAAAUAUUCAGCAACCAGAUAAUAUGGUUUAUUGAUGAUACCAACGUCUAUCGUGUGACAAUGCAUAAGACAUUUGAAGGAAAUCUGACAACAAAGCCAAUCAAUGGUGCAGCUUUUAUUUUCAAUCCAAGAACUGGGCAGCUAUUCCUGAAGGUUAUGCAUACAAGCGUUUGGGCUGGUCAGAAGCGUCUUGGUCAGCUUGCAAAAUGGAAAACUGCUGAAGAGGUUGCUGCACUUGUGCGGUCUUUCCCCGUUGAAGAACAGCCAAAACAAGUUAUUGUGACUCGUAAGGGAAUGUUGGACCCCAUUCAGACUACCAUGAAGGAUUUUCCCAACAUUGUUAUCAAGGGAAGCGAACUGCAGCUUCCAUUCCAGGCUUGCCUGAAGAUUGAGAAAUUUUGUGAUCUGAUUUUGAAAGCUACUGAGCCGCAGAUGAACCUCUUCAAUAUCUAUGAUGAUUGGUUGACGAGCAUAUCUUCUUACACUGCCUUCUCAAGACUCAUUCUCAUCCUCCGUGCUCUUCAUGUCAACAAUGAGAAGGCUAAGAUGUUACUGAAGCCCGACAAGUCUGUUGUCACUGAGACACAUCACAUCUGGCCUUCUCUCACUGACGACCAAUGGAUGAAGGUGGAGGUUGCUCUUAAAGAUCUCAUCCUUUUUGACUACGCCAAGAAGAAUAACCUGAAUAUAUCAGCUUUGACACAGUCAGAGAUAAGGGAUAUUAUUCUUGGAGCUGAGAUUACUCCACCGUCUCAACAAAGGCAACAAAUAGCUGAGAUUAAUAAACAGGCCAAAGAAGUGAGACAGCUUAGUGCAGUCACAACAAGGACCACUAAUGUUCAUGGUGAUGAACUCAUUGUCACCACUAUUAGUCCCUAUGAACAGUCUGCAUUUGGUUCCAAAACAGAUUGGCGAGUGCGGGCAAUCUCAGCUACUAACCUCCACCUUAGGGUCAACCACAUUUAUGUGAACUCAUAUGAUGUAAAUGAAACAGGAUACACCUACAUAAUGCCAAAGAACAUCUUGAAGAGAUUCAUACGCAUAGCAGAUCUUCGUACUCAGAUUGCUGGGUAUAUGUAUGGUAUAAGUCCCCUUGAUAAUCCUCAGGUCAAGGAAAUACGAUGCGUUGUGAUGGUGCCACAGCGGGGAUCACACCAGCAAGUUCACUUGCCUUCAUCUCUUCCUGAGCAUGAUUUCUUAAAGGAUUUUGAGCCCCUAGGAUGGAUGCACACACAGCCUAAUGAGCUUCCUCAGUUGUCGCCACAAGAUGUUACAUCACAUGCACGUUUUCUGGAGAAUAACAAGCAAUGGGACAGAGAAAAAUGUAUCAUCUUGACUUGCAGUUUCACUCCAGGCUCAUGUUCUUUGACCUCAUAUAAGCUGACGGAAACUGGAUAUGAAUGGGGACGUCUCAACAAGGACAGUGGCAGCAAUCCCCAAGGCUAUCUUCCGACACACUAUGACAAGGUUCAAAUGCUAUUGAGUGACCGGUUCCUUGGGUUUUACAUGGUUCCUGAUAACGGACCAUGGAACUAUAACUUUAUGGGGGUGAAGCAUACAGAGAGCAUGAAAUAUAGUGUGAAACUCGGAAACCCCAAGGAGUACUAUGACAAUGAGCAUCGACCCACUCAUUAUCUGGAGUUCAGCAAUAUGGAAGAGGAUAGAAACUUCAGCGAGAGAGAUCGUGAGGACUGUUAUGCUUGACAUUAACUCUUUCACUGCCUUUUUGUUUUGCUUUUUUUAUCUUCGUACCUGUAUCUUAUAAGAAUCUUGUAUACUAUGUAUGAGCCUUUAGAAAUUGGAAACUGAAAACCGGAUUUACUUUCUUGUUCAUUACUGGGAUUUAUUGGUCUGCAAAGCUAACCAGCCCUUUGGUUACAAGUAAUAUUCUUUUGAUGUAGUGUAAAGUAUUCUCUUUAUUUUCUUCAUCGUAAUGUCCUUGAUUAUUAGACGGUAAUGUGCUUAUCUCUCUGUGAUAUAAUCACGAUCUGAAGCUUGGUGAAAUUUCAUUUGAAACAGUUUCUUGUGGCUGUCUUCUUUUGCAGGCAUCUUACUUGGAGUCUGUGCUAUGCACCGAUAAUUGGCCAUUGAUGCGGCGCUUUACUGAGGUUUGAUGUAAUCUAUUUGUAUGACUGAAGUUGGUUGGUAUUCCUGAAGUCUUUUUCUCCUUUUCUGUUCCCUUGUGGUUUCGUCAUCUCUCAUAGUGGAGUAUUUAGAUCUUUCUAUAUUUGUUUAAUGUUUAGUUUCUAUUGUUAUUUCUUAGACUAAAGUGGCUUAUGAUUUACGAUCAUAAAUACUUGCAGGUGUCAUUGCCUAAAAACUUGGCUAUAAUAUGCUCUACUUAGCUCUAGGAUUUCGGUUUAGAGCAGCUUUAUUUGAUAUUUACUCCUUUACUAUCUUUUGUUGUGCUUUCUUCACUCUUGUGUUUUAUUGCGCUGUAGAGAUGUUCAAGAAUCAUAUGUACUAAGAGACCUUAGAAAUCUGAAACUAGGAAUUGGAUUUACUGUUUUAUAAAAGUUUCGGGGAUUUGUUGGUCUGAAGAGGUAACCAGUCCCUUUUGGCUCAAGCUUAGAUCUUUUAAAUGCUAUGUUGAGAGUAUUGUCCUUGAUUACUUCUUCUGAACCGUAUAACAUGUCGUGAAUAUAUCUGUUGUGUCUGAGUGAAUCUGACAGUCUUUUUGGCAGGCUAUGGAUCUCACUUGGGAGUGUGUGUGAUGCAUCAAUAUUAGGUCUGUUGUAUUCUAUUUGUAUGAUUGAAGUGGUUUGUUCAUUUGUUUCCUUAGUCUUUGUAUGUUUGCUUAGUUUCUAGUUUUGUUUUUCGAUUAUGGUUCGUUAUUUUGGUCAUGAAAGGUUGACUGUGAAGAAUUUUCUUUGACAUUUUGAAUGAUAAAUUCUCGUUUUUGCUUUGCUACCUAUUGAGUUGCCAAGAGUUUUAUUUCACAUUUUACUCUUGAGUUGAGACUUGAGAAGAUAUAAUAACUCUUUAGUUGUGCUGCGUCUUUCUUUGUCUUCUUCUCCUGCUGUCCUAUUCUGCGAUAGAGACUUGUAAAAAAUGUAUGUAGAAAAAGAGCAUUUUGGAAAUUAGAAAUCGAAAACUAGGAACUGAAUUUACUGUACGCUUGUGAAGGACAAUGAUGGUUGGAGAUAUCAGAUGUAAAUUGUAAUAUACCAAUAUGUAAAUGUGUUAAUUGUUUUUGUGAGACCGAUUAAAUCAAGGUCUAAUUCGGACCAGCCUACAUUAGUCAAGUUUUUUGAUAAUACCAUUAUUUUAAUUUCAGAAAUAGUGACCAAUUUAUUCUUUAAAUGAUUAUGGGUAAGAGAAUGUGGAAAGCAAAUCAGUGGGAAAUAGGUGAAAGUAAAAGGAUGAAAAAUAGUUAAGCUCGGACUCAGGAUACUCUUAAAUGUGGGUCUAUUUUUUUGGUAUGAAAAAGGAGACAAUGUCUAGCAUACUUUAUUACAAAAAAAUUAUAAGAAGCUAACGAGUCUGUCGUGGUAAUGCAAUUCCACUGGUAUAUUCAAGCAAAAUUAAAUUAACUGAGUUCGGAACCGAUUCUAGCAAAUGAAAACCUAAAAGAAGUGAAAACGCAUAGUUGGUUAAUCUAUCGGCUAGUCGAUUAGCUUCUCUAUAUAUAUGAGAACUACAGAUUAUCCAAUUCCUUAAAUACGGUUUGUUAAUCGAAAAAUUCAAUUCCAGUUUUGCGAAUUUGAAGACAUCGAAGAAUACAAUUAGUUUUUGUUGUUAGUGAUAAGACAAUUUUUUUUUGAGGGAAAAUAGAUUGGCAAGCAAUCUGUUGGAACAGUUUAGCAAAGUCAACCCUAUUAAAUAAAUAAAUAAAUAAAGUCCAUCUGUUUCAAAAUAUAGGAUGCUUUAGCUAAAGGCACAUACUUUUAAAAAAUUAUUUUUUGCUUUUAACAACUAUCAUUUAAUACUUAUUUUAAUAAAAUUCAACCAAUGAUAUAAAAGUCUGCAGAAUUCAAAUGAUCAUAAAAUAUGAAAUGAAUUUAAAAAUUGCAUAGAAAAUUGUAAACAUUUUAUAUUUUGAAACAAAAAGAAAUCUCUAAAACAUCAUAUAGUUUGAAACAAAGGGAGUAGCUUUUAUAGAAUUAUCUUUCUAUAAGAUAUAUAUGUUUAUUAUUACAAAAGCUAUCAUACUCACUUAGAAAAGUCUUGCAUAGUAAAAAAAAAAAAAAAAAAAAAAAAGUCUUGCAUAGUAUAUUAUCGACGUCUGCCAUCUAAUAUCAUAAAGUAACCAUUAAUUAUUGUUAAAUGUUCUAACAUAUGUACCAUUCUACCAGUUAAAUUAAUUUAUUACUUCCUCCGUCCCACGAAGAUGGAAUUUUUAGAAAUUUUACAUUCUUUAAGAAAUUGUGUAUAAUGACAAUUUUAAUCUUUUAACACACUUUAAAGAAUAUAUUACUUAUUUACUUCAAAAUUAAAUUAAUGGUUUUAAAAUAUAAAAAGAUACGUGAACUUUUUAAUGGUUUUAAUGACUAGUGAAUAUUUUUAAUAAAGAAAGGAAUGCAAAAUGUCAUAUACGUUUCAUUGGUCUUCACAGUUUGGGUUUGAUAUGCGUUUGAAGUGUCAACCACCGAAUUCACCGGAUUUGAAUAUAUUGGAUCUUUAAUUUUUAGUGCCAUCCAAUCACUACAACACAAAGUAUGUCCAACAACGGUGGAAGAACUUGUUUCGGCGGUAGAGACAUCAUUUGAUGUAUAUCCCGCAAAACAGGUGAAUCAGAUCUUUUUAACUUUGCAAUCUUGCAUGCUCGAGAGCAUGAAAGUGAAAAGCUCAAAUAAAUAUAAAAUCCCGGAUUUGAAGAAGGGCUCAUUGGAAAGAGAAGGCCGUCUACCUAUACAAAUCUCUUGUGAUCCAUUUUUGGUGCGAGAUGUGAUGAAUUUUUUAGCAAGUUAGUUUUUAUAGAACUUUUUUAUUGUCAUGAUUUGUGUGUGUGUGUGUUAUUUUUUUAAUUGAAUUUGGUCCUGCGAGUUUAUUUCAAUGAUUUUAUCUGUUCUUUAAUUUUUUUAAUUUAUUAUUGUUGUUUUAUGAAAAUUUAUUUUUGAUUUACAAUAUUUAAUCAUCAAAACAUCUAAAAAUACACACGUAGAACAAGUUCAAUCGCCAUAAACAUAUUCAAAAAAAAAAAAGAAUCAUUCAACAAAAAAAACAAAUUAUUUGGUGUAUAUCAAUGAGAAUAAUCUCUGCUUUGCCUCUAUGAUCCGAAAUAAUAUGGGUUUAGAUUUCAAACCAAAAAUAUUAAUCUUACCAAUAAGUUCUGAAUAAAUAUAACAUUAUCAUGAUCAUUUUAUUAGAACUAGAAAAUUAUAUUCAUGAUUACAAAAGUCUAACACCAGACUCUUAAAAAAACUUUCAUAAAUCUAAAAAGAUUUUGGAAACAUCAUCUUGAGCAUGGUUAAUACUUAAUAUAGUGUCUUCGAUAAGAAGUUGGUUCAAAUCCAGCUCAUGAUCGACAUAAACUACACGAUUUGUUCCAGAAUUUUUCACUACCUUUUUUUCUUCUUUUUUCACGUUUAGGAGAGACUCCAUGAAUUUGAAGAAGAAGACAGAAAAAAAUUUUAGUUAUGAAAAUAAAAAGAUCUCAUAUUUUUAUUUGAUGACACAAAUGCUUAUACUUAUAUACUCGGUGCAUGGAGAAAGGAAUAUAGUGCAUGGAAGAAGAAUUACUUUGGAAUGUGUACUUUUAAUUAAUGGAGAUGACCAGUCUCACGAAUGGGCAAAAUCAUUUUGGAAAAAAUUUAAAACUAUGUAAUUGUUUAAUGAGGGUAAAGUAGAAAAGCAAAAUUUUUAUUUUUGUGGGACAGUUUUUUUUUCUAAAAAAUCUAUCUUAGUGGGAGUAUAAUUUUACAAUUAUUGAACAUCAUGUACAUAUACACAUUAUAAUUUAAUCGGCAAUAUAAUGUGGGACAAAAACUUUUGAUAAUUUAAAAUUUUCAUGAUAUAUAUAUAUAUAUAUAUAUAUAUUUUUUUUUCAAUCGAUUUAUAUGAUUAUAAUAUAUAAUAUUUUUAUGUAUAUUUAGUAUAUAGUUGGAUCAUUAUAAUUAUUGUUGUUUUCUCAUAUUUUCAAAUUAAUUAUUAUUAUUAAGUGAAAUUCGAUUUACUUAUUAGAAUCGAAUGUGUACACUUGAUUUAUAAUAUAUUAUUUUAUAUUUUACAUAAAGGGUCCAAUUGGUAACCACUUUUUAGGAAAGAAAUGGGCAGGAACAACAUGUUCCUUAUUGUUCCUCUUUUUAUUUUUUACCAUUCAGCAGUAAUUUUUUUUCUAAGUUGUAACAUGUGGACCCCAUACUAUUCCUAAUCAUUCCUUAUUUUUUGAGGAACAAAAUUGUUCCUUCUCAAAUUUGAUGAGGAACAAACAGGAAAACAAAUUAAACAUUUAUAAAUUAAAAAUUAAAUUUAUGGAAAAUUAGAAGGAAAAAACGUACGUGAUAACGUGGCUAUGAAGUUGUUUGAGUUCAUGAUAGCGAGAUGAAGUAGUCAAAUCAGAUUCAAACUUAUCUUCGUCUAUCUCAUAAUUAUCUCAAUAUAUAGUUGUUUAAAUAAAUAAGUCUUCUCAAAUACUAUUAUAAAUAGUCUUUCUACCUUAUUAUUUUUUCUAGAGCUAAUCAGAUUGCUAGUCUCUAUUCGAUAGAUUGAAAAAAGCUAAAGCCUAGAGGUAAUAAAAGAAGUCAUACACUACUAUAUAGCAUAUAUGAGUUUUUUAUUUAUGAUUUGCUUACAAUCUUAUAUUUGAUUUUGUUUAUAUAUUUAAUCUAUAGAAGUUUUUUUUUAAUUUUUGUUACUAUUUUUUCUAUGUUUUUGGUUAUCAUUUACAGUAACAUUUGUUCUAUUUUUCCUCUACAUCCAUUCCUCUUCAUUCCUAUUUUAUCAUUUUUUAUUUUCCUGUUUGUUCGUUUUUAGUCAUGUUCCUCUUCAUUCCUUGUAUUCCUUAAUAGGUCACCAAUCGGACCCAAAGCUUCAUGUUAUUCUUUAAUUUGUAAAAUCUAAAAAAUAGAUUAUAUAAUUAUCCACAAAAAUUUGUAUAAUCAAUUUAUUUUGCCAAUAAAAUGGUAAGAUGUAUUUUACUGAUGGAAAUUUGCCUAAUAUAAUUAAAAGUAAGAAACUAGUUAAAAGUUUCAUCAUACAAAACUUCAUAAUUAAAUUUGCGAUUAUUUUGUGAUGAAUGCAAUCGCAUAUUUAGAGGUGUUGGUUAAGCUUGAAGAUAUCUUGGAGAAGAAAUAAUCCUAAACCGAGUUAUGGUUAUUAAGAGAUAAGGUUGUUAAGAGAUAAAGUUAAAUAUAUUGGGAGUUAUCCAAUAUAUUAUGAGUCCUUAUAGAAUUAGGAUUUGUACUUCUUGUAUAAAUAGAGAUGUCGAGUAAUGGCAUAAGAUUGUGAGAGAGUUUAAGUUUUGAGAGAUUUUCUUAAACUAAUAAAAGGUUAUUGAGUUUGUGAGUUAAUACUUUCUCUUGUUAAUCGUAAGAGUUGGAUCAUCAAAUAUCGUUUACAAUAUUUGGUAUCAGAGCUCUUUGCGAUCAUGGGAGAGAUCACGGAAAGAGCACAAGCGGAGGUGGCCAAGAUAAGUAAAGGAGGAGGCUCGACGACGAUAAAGUGUCCUAUGCUUAACACGACCAACUACACCGUUUGGGCUAUGAGAAUGAAACUUCUACUCAGGGUGCACAAGGUCUGGGAAGUGAUUGAAACCUCAUCAAACGAUGAAGAGAAAAACGUGAUGGCCACGACCUUAAUGUUUCAAUCUAUUCCCGAGACUCUCACCUUGCAGAUAGGAGAACUAAACACUGCAAAGAAGGUAUGGGAUGCCAUAAGAACGAGACAUGUAGGUGCUGAGAGGGUUAAGGAAGCAAGGUUACAAACGUUGAUGGCUGAUUUCGAUCGUUUGAAGAUGAAGGAUACGAAGAAAAUCGAUGACUUCGCCGACAAAUUAUCAGAAAUCGCUUCAAAAUCGUCGGCUUUAGGAGAAGAGAUUGAACAACCUAAACUUGUCAAGAAGUUCCUUAAGAGUCUUCCUAGGAAGAAGUAUAUUCAUAUUGUUGCUGCACUUGAACAAGUUUUGGACCUCAAAACCACAAGUUUUGAAGAUAUCAUAGGUCGAUUAAAAACCUAUGAAGACCGUGUGUGUGAUGAAGAAGAAGAUCAAGAGGAUCAAAGCAAGCUGAUGUAUGCAAACACGGAAUCUCAACACAACAAAUAGUUUAAUGAUGAGUAUAGAGGCAGAGGUCGUGGAGGAGGCUUCUAUAGAGGAAGAGGCAGAGGACGUUUUGGUGGAGGAAGAGAUACUUCAAGUGUUGUUUGCUACCGGUGUGACAAGACUGGUCACUUUGCAAGCAAUUGUCCGGAUCGUCUUCUAAAGCUACAAGAAGCUCAAGAGCAUGACAACAAGAGCACAACGGAGGCAGAUGAACUCAUGAUACACGAGGUAGUGUAUUUAAACGAAGGAAAAGUUGUACCAAGCAAAUACGAAACAAAUUUAGAAGAAAAGAAUGUGUGGUAUCUUGACAACGGCGCUAGCAAUCACAUGACCGGAGACCGAAGAUACUUCUCACACAUAGAUCAAUCUAUCACCGGGAAAGUAACGUUUGGCGACGACUCUCGAAUAGACAUCAAAGGGAAGGGAUCUAUCGAAUUUGUUGAUAGAAAUGGAGAACCAAGAACAAUGAUUGAUGUCUACUUCAUUCCCGAUCUUAAAAGCAAUAUUAUUAGCCUUGGACAAGCUACAGAAGCUGGCUGUGAUGUGAGAAUGAAAGGAGAAGAGUUAACAAUGUUUGAUCACGAUGGCAAGUUAAUUGUUAAGACGACAAGAUCAAGAAACCGGCUGUACAAGGUGAGAAUGGGAUUAAAGGAUACAAUGUGUCUUCAUUCAAGAGUUGAUUCAAGUCUGUGGCAUGCAAGGUUAGGACAUGUAAAUGUUGACACAAUGAAGCUUAUGGUACAAAGAGAGCUUGUGACAGGAGUACCUAAGAUUGUUUUUGAAAAAGAAGUGUGUAGCUCAUGUUUACUUGGAAAACAAGCAAGACAAGUAUUCCCGCAAGCUACUAAUUAUCGAGCAACAUAAAUUCUUGAACUCAUUCACGGUGAUCUUUGUGGUCCUAUAACUCCAAACACUAUGGCGGGAAACAAAUACGUGUUUGUUCUCAUCGAUGAUCAUACUCGGUAUAUGUGGACAGCCUUGUUGAAAGAGAAGAGUGAUGCAUUUAACAAAUUCAAGAGAUUCAAGAGCUUGGUAGAACAAGAAACUGGGAAAAGAAUACAAACGUUUAGGACGGACAGGGGAGGUGAAGUUGUGUCACAAGAGUUCAAUGAUUUUUGCAAUAUCUCAGGAAUAAGACGGCACUUGACAGCUCCAUACACUCCUCAACAAAACGGGGUUGUUGAGAGGCGAAACAGAACUCUAAUGGAAAUGACUCGAAGCAUACUAAAGCAUAUGUGUGUCCCUAAUUUCCUUUGGGGAGAAGCAACAAGGCACUCUACGUAUCUGAUAAAUAGGGUUACUACACGGGCCCUUAUGAACAAGACACCAUAUGAAAUGCUUCGGUCUAAGAAGCCCAAUGUCAGUCAUCUCCGAGUAUUUGGGUGUAUAGCAUACGCGAAAACAGAGUCAACUCACUUGAAGAAGCUAGACGACAGAUCACGAGUGUUAGUUUAUCUAGGUACGGAACCAGGAUCCAAGGCAUACCGUCUAUAUGAUCCACAAGCUCGAAAGGCAGUGGUAAGUAGAAACGUUACUUUUGAUGAAACUAAGGGUUGGAACUGGAGGCAAAGCAUUGAUGAGCUGAACAGAGAACUCAAAAUCAACUUUGGAAUUUUUGGAAAUCAUGGUAUUCAAGGAACAAGAGUAGCCAUAGAAGAAAAGGAGCCCAAAGAAAAUAAUGAGGAAAUAGAGGAGAUAAAUGAGGAUAAUGAGGAUAACGAAGAAAACAACAACACGGGAAGUGGAGAUAAUGAGGACAAUACUCAAGUCCCUAAGCUACGGACAUCACAAAGAGAAGUUAGCAAGCCAAAAUAUCUAAACGAUUAUGUGUUGUUAGCCGAGGAAGAAGGAGAACGCGUACUCAUGUAUUUGAAUGAUGAACCAAGAAACUUCUGUGAAGCAAGAGAGUCGAAAAAUUGGAUGCGUGCGUGUGAGGAUGAGAUUCACUCGAUUACAAAGAACCACACUUGGGAUCUCAUUGAAUGUCCAAAAGAAGCUAAGCCGAUAGGUCUAAAAUGGAUUUUUAAACUCAAAAGGAACUCCGAUGGUAAUAUCAAUAAAUACAAAGCUAGGCUCGUUGCAAAAGGAUAUGUGCAAAGAUACGGAAUUGACUUUGAAGAUGUGUUUGCUCCGGUGGCACGGAUUGAGACAAUCCGUCUCCUUAUCAGUCUCGCGGCUUCAAGACAGCGUUCCUACACGGUGAAUUAAAGGAAACUGUCUAUGUAACUCAACCGGAAGGUUUUGAAGUGAAAGGAAGUGAAGACAAGGUUUACAAGCUAAACAAAGCUUUGUAUGGUCUAAAACAAGCUCCUAGAGCAUGAAAUGACAAGUUGAAUCAAGUGCUCAAGGAACUCAAAUUUGAAAAAUGCUCAAAAGAACCUUCCGUGUAUAGGAAAAAGGUGAAUCAAGAUGUUCUUCUCGUCGCUGUGUACGUUGAUGAUUUAUUUGUCUCGGGGACAAAUGUUAAAGUCAUAGAAGAAUUCAAGAUGGAAAUGGCGUCUAGAUUUGAGAUGAGUGAUCUCGGUAAGUUAACCUACUACCUUGGAAUUGAAGUGUGCCAAAGCAAGGAAGGAAUAACAUUGAAUCAAAGACGUUACGCCCUAAAGAUCUUGGAGGAAGUUGAAAUGGCGAAGUGUAAUUUGGUUCAUACACCAAUGGAGGCUGGCUUGAAAAUAUCAAAGGCGCUAGAAGAAAAGGACAUUGACGCCACGAGCUAUCGUAGAAACAUAGGAUGUCUCCGUUACUUACUUCACACUAGACCCGACUUGUCUUAUUGUGUCGGUGUGUUAAGUCGGUAUAUGCAAAAUCCUAAGGAGUCUCAUGGUGCUGCAAUGAAGCAAUGUCUAAGGUAUUUACGAGGUACUACUACGCUUGGACUGGUCUAUCCAAGAACAACUUUAAAGGAGUCAAGACUGAUCGGGUACAGCGAUAGUAGCCAUAAUGAAGAUCCCGACGAUGGUAAAAGCACAACUGGUCACGUUUUCUACCUUGGUGGAAGCUUGAUCUCGUGGUGCUCUCAUAAACAAGAAAUUGUGGCGUUAUCAUCGUGUGAAGCUGAGUUCAUGGCUGCAACGGAGGCUGCUAGACAGGCGAUAUGGCUUCAUGAUUUGCUUGGAGAGAUUACCGAGUCAACAUGUGAAAGAGUCACUAUCCGAAUAGAUAAUCAAUCGGCUUACGAAAAAUCCGGUGUUUCAUGGUCGAAGCAAACACAUUACCAAACGGUACCAUUUCAUAAGGGAGUGCGUGGAGAAUGGAUUAGUGGAAGUUGAACAUGUACUUGGUGAUGAGCAAAAGGCCGACAUUUUGACUAAGGCGCUUGGGAGGAUCAAGUUCAAGGAGAUGCGUGAACUUAUUGGUGUAAGAGAUAUGAGUGGAAGUGACUUCAAGCUUAGGAGGGAGAAUGUUGGUUUAGCUUGAAGAUAUCUUGGAGAAGAAGUAAUCCUAAACCGAGUUAUGGUUAUUAAGAGAUAAGGUUGUUAAGAGAUAAAGUUAAAUAUAUUGGGAGUUAUCCAAUAUAUUAUGAGUCCUUAUAGAAUUAGGAUUUGUACUUCUUGUAUAAAUAGAGAUGUCGAGUAAUGGCAUAAGAUUGUGAGAGAGUUUAAGUUUUGAGAGAUUUUCUUAAACUAAUAAAAGGUUAUUGAGUUUGUGAGUUAAUACUUUCUCUUGUUAAUCGUAAGAGUUGGAUCAUCAAAUAUCAUUUACAAUAAGAGGGUCAAAGCAGUCUAACACGUUAUGUUUAACUUGUUAUACGUGAGGCUAAUUAGAUAUUUUGCAUAUUUCGAUGGAUCAGCUUGCGAAAGACCGUACUAACAUCAAUCAUAACCCACCCACCACAUAACCCACAAGGUCUUAUAAUUUUUUUUCUUCUUUUUGAUCAAUUUAAAUUGUUUAUAAUAUUUUAACCUUUUUCAAGUUAAAUUAUGUUUAUUUUUAUUAAAUUAGACUAUUUAUAAUAUUUUAGUUUUUGAUCACCUUGUGUUUUGGUAUUACUAAUUUUUCUAGUAUCAAGUUAAAUACUUAUAAAUUUUUUCUUAAUUAGUUCUACUUAUACAAUUCAACUAAGAAAUCGGAUUAAACCGAAUAUAAACUUUCAAUUAUAAAUGCAUAUUUAGUGAGAACUUUUUUUUUUGUUUUAAUCUGAAAAUUCUGAGCAUAGAUCCAUACAUCUCUUAAAGUCGGGACCAUCAUUUAAUAAAAUAUCACUCUCAACAAUAAUCGAACUCUUGUCUUCCUAAAUGUCUACGUUUUCGGCGUACUAAAAUUCAACCACUAGUUUAACCUCACGAUGGUUAACAGUGAGGUUUCAUACCUUUUUCUUUUAACAUAUCAUUUCGAUUAUUUUAAUAAUUUUUUUACUUAGGCUCAUCGUCAUAUUCGAUGUGAGACUUUAACAAACUAUUCUUAUAAAAGUUUUACCAGUUGGUAAAUGCCACUAUCAUUUGCUAUUUUUUCUUCCUCAUAAUGUUUCUAUUUUUUUCUUAUUAAAAUUCUUUUAAAUAACUAUAUUUAUACAACUAUAUUUAUAAAUUUAUUUCCCCUUUUAAAAUUCAUAUACACUUUCUAGAUUUUUAAAUAUAAUCAAUCUUCAAUAUAUGGUUUUUGGUUAAAAGCGGAUUAUAUUCUCAUUACUAAUAAAAUAUUACAUAGUCAUCUAUUUUACGAAUUUGAAGUUUCCUUUAAUUUUAAGAUAUAUAUGUUUAUUAUUACAAAAGCUAUCGUACUCACUUAGAAAAGUCUUGCAUAAUAUAUUAUCCACGCCUUUCAUGUUAUAUAUACUAUAAAAUAACCAUUAAUUAUUGUUAAAUGUUCUAACAUGGGUACCACGCUACCAAUUAAUUUAUUAUAGUUUUAUAUUUAUUGAAUAUUAUGUACAUAUACACAUUAGAAUUUAAUCCGUAAUAUAACGUGAGACAAAAACGUUUGAUAAUUAGAAUCAUUUGAUAUUUUAGUUUAAUAUUUUUUCAAUCGAUUUACAUAAUUAGAUAAUGUUCUUUUUUGUAUACUUAGGGGGUGUUAUUCAAUCAUGAAGUUAAAGUCAAUUCUUUAAGGUUUAGAUUUGCUUUCUGAUAUUGUUUUUAAGAAUCUGUUUGUGUGGAUUUCAAAAUCUCUGCAAUAUAGCUUUGAUUAUGAUUCUAAUAAUUUACUCAUGAAACUCCAAAGAGGUUUCAUUUCAAAUGUUUUAAUAUACAAAAAUUUUACAAGUCUUUUAGUUUUGAAUAACACUGGAUUUUAAUGAAGUAUUUUAAAUCUUAGUUGAAUAACACCAAACUUUGAAAAUCUAAUGAAAUAUAAGAUCCAAUAACACCAGAUUUUAAAGUUAAAUUUAGAAUCAUUAGUUGAAUAACACUGAAUUAGUGUUGGAUUUCAAUUCUAUUAAAAUCCAUCAUUGAAUAACACCACCUUAGUAUAUGGGUUGGAUCAUUAUAACUAUUGUAUCGUAUUUUCAAAUUAACUAUAUUAUUAUGUGAAAUUCGAUUUACUUAUUAGAGUGGAAUGUGUACAUUUGACUUAUAAUAUAUCAUUUUCUAUUUUACGUAAAGCUUCAUGUUAUUCUAUAACCUAUAAAAACUAAAAAUAGAUUUUAUAAUUAUCCAAAAAAAGUUGUAUAAUCAAUUUAUUUUGCCAACAAAAUGGUAAGAUGUAUUUUACUGAUGGAAUGUUGCCUAAUAUAAUUAAGAAAAAGAAAGGUUAGAAGUUUCAUCAUUAAGAACUUCAUAAUUAAAUUUGUGAUUAUUUUGUUAUGAAUGCAAUUGCACAUUUAGAGUGUCAAAGCCUUUUUAUAUUUUUGAUCAUUUUAAAUUGUUUCUAAUAUUUUAACCUUUUUGUCAAGUUAAAUUAUAUUUAUUUUUAUGAAAUUAGAAUAUUUAUUAUAUUUUCAUUUUGAUCACCUUUUAUUUUGAUAUUAUUAAUUUUUUUUGUAUCAACUUAAAUACUUAUAUGCUUUUUCUUAAUUCGAUAUACUUAUACAAAUAAACUAAAAAAUCGGAUUAAACCGAAUAUAAUGUUUUAAAUAUAAAUAUAUAUUUAGUGAGAACUUUUUUUCGUUUCCAUAUAAUCUAGAAGUCCAUACAUCUCCUAUGAUCGAGACCAUCUUUUAAUAAAGUAUCCCUCUCAACAAGAAUCGAACUCGUGUCCUCCUAAAUGCCAAUGUUUUUGGCUUACUAAAAUUCAACCACUAGUCUAACCUCACCUUGGUUUACAGCUAGUUUUCAUACUUUUUUCUUUAACAUAUCAUUCGAUCAUUCUAACAAUUUUUUGGACUAGGGCUCAUCGUCAUAUUCGAUGUGAGACUUCAACAAACUAUUCUUUUAAAAGUUUUACCAGUUGGUAUAUGCCACUAUCAUUUACUCUUUUUUCUCAUAACGUGUAUAUUUGUUUUUCUUAUUUAAAAAUAUUAAAUAACUAUAUUUUUCAAAUUUAUUUCCCCAUUUAAAAAAUUCAUAAACACUUUCUAAAAUUUUAAAUAUAAUCAAUCUUCAAUAUAUGUUUUUUCUGGUUAUAUUAUUAUUACCAAUGAAAUAUUACAUAUAUAGUCGUUUAUUUUACGAAUUUGAAGUUCCAUUUAAUUUACUAAAUUUUUGUGAGUUUAUAUUUCACAAUUUUAUCUUCUAUUAAUUAUAAGUUACUUAGAUAUUAAUAUGUAUGAAUUAAUUAAACAUUUUAAGCAGACGUUAUUCCAAAUAUUUUUAUGUUUAUUCAAUUGACACAUAAAAUGAGAUGAAACUUUCUAAUUUUAAAAAAAAACUAUUCUAAGAUGAUGAGAUGAAACAUGUAGCAAAUGCCAUUUUAAAAGGGACAUCUACGAUCCAUUGUUUCUUCCAUUUUCUCCACUUGUCAAAGUUCACUCAUUACCUCAAUCUUGUUACCCGUUGACUUUUAAGGUCUAGCAGGAAGAAGACGAUGGAAGCGAAGCUAGAGGUGGCUGCGAGAGAAGUGAUCAAACCUGCUUCACCAUCACCUCGUGAUCGCCUUCAACUCUCUAUCCUCGAUCUCUAUUGUCCCGCAAUCUACGUGUCGACGAUCUUCUUCUACGAUCUCGAUAACAUGUCCCCGGAAAUUUUGUCGGAAAAUCUGAAAAGCUCUCUGUCCGAGACUUUGUCACGCUUCUAUCCACUGGCUGGACGAAUAGAAGGCGUUUCCAUCAGCUGUAACGAUGAAGGAGCCGUGUACACCGAGGCUCGCACCAAUCUCCUUUUACCUGAUUUCCUGAGAAACCUCAACACUGACUGCCUGUCGGGAUUCCUCCCGACAAUAGCCGCUGGAGAUUCUCCAGCGGCUUGGCCCUUGUUGAGUGUCAAGGUCACUUUCUUCGGGUCGGGAUCUGGGGUGGCGGUUUCUGUCUCUGUCUCUCACAAAAUCUGUGAUGCAGCCUCAUUGGUGACCUUUGUUAAAGACUGGGCUACCACUACGGCCAAAGGGAAGUCAAACAGUACUAUUGAGUUCGCUGAAACGACUAUUUAUCCUCCUCCUCCUCCUUCCCAUAUGUAUUUAGAGUUCCCAUCAACGGAUUCCGAUUCUAACAUCGCAAAUAAAUGUGUAAUCAAAAGAUUCGUCUUCGAACCCUCUAAGAUAGCUGAGCUCAGGCACAAGGCCGCUAGCGAAAGCGUUUCUGUACCUACACGUGUUGAAGCUAUCAUGUCACUUAUUUGGAGAUGUGCCAGAAAAUCCUCACGCUUUAACUUGGUAAUUCCAAGGCAAACAGUGAUGUGGCAGGCCAUGGACUUGCGGCUUAGGAUUCCAUCUAAUGUUUUGCCACAAGACGUGAUUGGCAACCUACAAUCAGGAUUCUCUCUCAAGAAAGACGCGGAGAGCGAGUUUGAGAUCCCCGAAAUCGUGGCGGCAUUCAGGAAGACCAAAGAAGGAGUCAACGAGAUGAUCAAAGAGAGUGUCCAAAGCAAUACAACUGGUCAGAGUUUGUUGAGUUUGAUGGCGGAAACAGUGUCAGAGUCAGCGGACAUAGACAGAUACAUAAUGUCUAGCUGGUGCAGAAAGCCAUUCUACGAGGUUGACUUCGGAUCUGGUAGUCCGGUCUGGGUGGGAUACGCGUCACAUACCAAUUACGACAACAUGGUGUGGGUCAUGUUGAUUGAUUCAAAAGAAGGUGAUGGUGUAGAAGCAUGGAUAAGCUUACCUGAGGAAGACAUGUCUGUGUUUGUCGAUGACCAAGAGUUGCUUGCUUAUGCUGUCCUAAAUCCCCCGGUCUUGACCUAAACAAGACUACUACCAGUCGCACCUCAAUAUACAAUCCAAGAUUGCUCUAUGCUGGAUUUACUAAAUUCUUGGCUUUUGCGUUUCGUUGUGAUCUGAAUAAAGUGAACAGUCAUUUCAAAUUUUCAUCUAAAUUUGGUUGAUGUGUUCGUGACCUUGAUCUUGUUUGUACUCUAUGUGGUUAUCGUUUUAUUUGUCAAUUUGUUUUUCCAAUUUGUGAAUAACUCUUUCAUGAUAUUUAAAGUGUUUAGUUGACUUCCUUCAAAUUUGUUUUUCUUAGUUUCUAAUCAAUAGGCUAUGAUACGGUUCAUGGCUUGUAGAAGCUAAGCAUUUUGAAAACACUGUUCUGACAGACUUAGGAAUUAGUGAAAAAUCAUACCAAAUUCUAGAGACAUGAAAUUUAUACACCAACAUGUAUAUUGAUUAUUGAGACAGUUGUUAGUCAAAUAAUGACUAGAUUUGCCCCAUGGUGUGUAGGAAAAUAAGAAUUUAAAAAAAUUAACAAAUUGAAGAAUUUGAUAUUUAGAAUUAGAGAUUUGUAUAAAUUAAUUUUUGAUAGUCUAUUUGAUUCAUUUUCAUCUCGUUUAUUCUUACUUUAUGAAUUCUUUAAUACAAGCUUAUCCUCUUCAUGUAGCAUUUAAACUAUAUUUUAUCCACAAGAGAGGUUGCUUAUUUUACUAACAAUCGACUCCGUAUCAUAUGAUCUCAGUAUCUGCGAUGGUUAGAUGAGUUAUCAAAGGUGAAGGUCGUUUCGAGUUUAAGAUCAUGAACAAUAUUUUUUAGAAAGGCUCUGGUAAGAUUCAUAAAACAUUUUUACGUGAAUGUUCCCUAGGUUGGCUAAGUCGGGUUACCUCACUUUUUUAAUGAAGAAUAGUUCUCUUAAAACAAGAAUAUAGACGCCGAUAAGAACUAGUAAGAACACCUCAAGGUUUAAUCAAACUUAGAAUGAUGAAAGCGGAUAGUUGAAGCAUUUUGUACGCUUGUUUAGGAUGGAAAAAGUGUUUAAUGAAGAGGGGUUAGGACGUAAACAGAAUCUUUACAACACUUUUAAGCCAUAAAUAUUCUAAGGUCUCAUGAGUUGUACUUUGGAAGGAAAUGAGUUCUUCGAUCCAUUUCUUUGAUUCCAUACCGUUCAACUAUUUCUCAUUCGUGUUUAUUGCAUUGAUUUCUCACGGAGAAUGCGAUGCAUUGAAGUUUGGAGAUGCUAUUUUAGUUGGUACCUGUCACGAUUUUUUUGAUUUUUUUUCGUGUUGUUUUUAGCAUAAUUUAUAUAUACUAGAUGGUUUUUAACAACAUGAAUAUGAGUUUGUGACGAUCUAGCGACGUAUAUUAUAUGAGUUUUUAUGCAAAAAAAACCUCCAACUCGCAUAUUUUUGCAACUUUACCCUUCAUCUCCGAAAAAUGCAGAUUAAUCCUACGAAUUUCAAAACAAUACGUAAUGUAAUCCUUAUAGAUAUAUUCUAGAUACAUUCUAGAUACACCAUGCAUGUUAUACAAGGUAUAUAUUUUAUUAGCAUCUGAAAUCAAACCAAAUACAUACAUGGAUAAAUUCUUGACAGUUGCCUCUUACAAGAUGGGUUUUUAUCCAUUUGCAGCAAUCAGAACAGUCUGACAUAUAUAAAGAAUUCGAACUAACAACCUUAAAAAAUAAUACCACUCUAAUGACUAACAGAGUUAAAAAUAAAAUUAAAUUAUGGGUCAAUAGGUGAUAAAAAUGAACCUGUAUCUAAACAUAUGAUGGAUAAAAAUGGCCAUUUGAAGCUUAGCGAACUCAGCUCCCACACAUAGUCUAGAACCAGCACCAAAGGGAAUGUAAGUCUUGGAGAGGAUUGAGCUCAAGUCUUCUCUCUGAAAAUUUAAUAUUUAUAUGCUGAAAAUUCUAUAAAUUUGACUAAUGGAAAUAUAGUAAAAGUUCAAAUCACCUUCCAACGCCAUGGAUUAAAUACCAAAGGGUCAUCGUAUUUUUUGGGACUGAAAUGUACAUUAGGAUAGCCCAUGAAGAUCCAACCAGCUGGAAUUGUAUAAUCACCAACCUGGAAAUCAUGGUCAGUUAUUCUAAGCACAGUCGGCGCCGUGCUUGUGAUCCUAAGUGACUCAUUAAUCACCUGAAACGAAAAACCAAAUGUGUUUGAACUACUAUGUAAAUCAAGGUUAACGAACAUAAAACUCAAAACUAAUUGAUAAUGAGUGGAUUGAUAUAUUAAUAUGUGAUUUUUGUCUCCAUAUAAUUGUAUAUAUGUUUGUGGCAGACAUUCACCUUGUGUGUGAAAGUCAUUGAUUUGUAGUCUUCCCAUGUAAGGCCAGCCUCCUUCUCAGUCUUACCUCGAACAAUUCCCUCAUGCUCUUUAUUCAACUCUUCCACAACUUUAGGGUGGUCGCUUAUGAGCUUUACUGUAGCCGCAAGGAUCCCUGGUGACUGGUGUUGUUUCGUUAGCUAUCAAAAAGAAAGUAUAUAUGUACUCAAUCGAAUUCUCUACGCUCAUUUUUUCCGCUCCUCCUUCCAUUUCUCCAAAGAUGAUCUUGAAAAAUUCUCCAAACUCCUCUCCUGAUGCUCUCUUCUUUAGUACCAUCUCCUUUAUCAACUUCAUCAUCCGCUUUCUUGCCUGUCACAAAACACAUCAUACGAGCGAUUAUUUUCCCUCAAAAGUCAUAUAUAUGCACAUAUAGUCCGAUAAAGGUUUAGAUGAACUGAAAAUCACAAACCUUCAUCAUUCGAUAGACACCAGCCCCAGGAACGUUCCAAGAGAAUUGAAACCAAUCCCUUGGAAAAUAUCUCCAACAUAGUGCAAGUUCUUUUGCUGCCUCUGGUUCCAUUUCACCCAUAACUUUCUUUGCAAGACAUUCAAUUAAGAUCUGUAAAGUUUGAUGAUAUGUGUUUGAUGAGAUGAUCCAUUAGUAAUCGUACUGUAGAAUGUAAUUAAUCAUACCAAGAGUUAUAUACAGCGCGAAAUGGAUGAGUUUUUCACCUUGCUUGAUGUUUCCUUGACGUCAAGGCAACCGUUCCUAGCUCCUUCCUCCAUGUAUGUGCGAGCCAAGAGAUCGACUUCUUCCACCAUCCUCAACUUUAAACAUUGUGGACCUAACAACUGGAAUGUCAAGUUCCGGACAUGUUUAUGGGACUGCUUGCUUUGGAUAAACAAGUUGUUUUUCCCAAAUAGCCGUGCAAUGCUCUUCGUGACACCAGGGACAUGAUUUGCCUUCGCUAUCUCCACAUUCAUUUCAAGAUCCAUCGAGAUUAUAGCUUUGGCUCCAAAUAAGCUUGUCCGAAAAACUGGUCCAUAUCUAUUAUUUUUUUCCGAAAAAUUGACAAGGGAAGGACAACGUAACUAAAAGUUAGGAGUAAUUGAAAAAUAUAUUUUCAAACACUACAUAGAAAAUGCAUGGUCGGGAAAUUAGCAAAGAACCUGAGAACUCUCUCUUUGACGAAUGUUGGAAACUGAAGAACGUCAUGAGGCUUCAUGAACUCAAAAGUCUCUCCGAUGAUCGGAUAACCCAUCGACCCUGGAGGUAGUUUUCCAUUACUUGUCGGAUUUCUCCACUGAUAGAUCCAAUGAAAUAGCUUCACCACUAUGAGUGAAACUACCACGGUCAAUAACUCAUAAACUUCUACCAUGUUCGUUAAUUUGUUUUUUUUUCCAACUACACUAUUUUGAAGAUGUUGGUUGAGGGGUGCAUGAUUCCCCAAGGGGGGGGGGGGGGGUACUCUCUUUAUAGUUUAUACUAGUGCUCUCUCGUCAAGUUAUAAAUGAUAUUUAUCCAAGUAGGCGAUUUUAUAUACGAUUUCAAAAUAUUUCUUUUAACACAAGCUAUGCUCACACAUGACAUGUCUCCUUUUUCUUUUUUUUUUCUCUCUCUUUAAAUCCAAAUACACAUUACUCAUUUUUUCUUUAUAUUAAAAACAUUUUUCUUAUUUACCCAAAUAAAUAUUAUGAUCCUAUUUCUUUUCAUUUAUAAGUACAUCAUUAUAUUAAAAAACUUAUUUGAGAGACACAUUCUUUUUGAAGUUUUCCUUUAACACAAGCUCCGAAAACCUUACACCGUGGCCUCUUCCAUUUUCAUUAUUUUUAUGUAUAUCAUUAUAUCAAAAAAUAUAUGAGAAACAUGUUUUUUCUUUGUUUCUCUACAUAUAUAUAUUGUCCUAAAAUUUAUGUUUAUUUUUCUUUCUCAUCUUAGAUUUUUUAAAUAAUGAUAAUUUACAUAUUUGUGUAUAUACACGUAAAUUGAGUAAAUAUUUUGGAUAUUGUUGUAACUUAGAGUUUGUGAGGAAAAUAACAUGAGGAUCCUCUCCUUGACGAAUGUGGGAAACAGAAGAGCCUCAUGAGGCUUCAUACACUCAAAAUUCUCUCUAAUGAUUGGAAAAUACAUCGACCCUGGCAGAAUUUGGAGCAAUUUCAGAACGACAAGGAAGAAUUCUCGACCUUCUUUUUAUCUUUAAUUUCUCGUAGUGCAAUAAAAGCGGACAAUCAGGCACGAAAAAUUCGUUCGGAACCGCUUUAUAUCACAUAUGUAAACAACGUUCUCCCGGAAUGACUCUUUUGAACACUAAUUAAUUUUGGAUGACAAAAAAAAAAAAAAAAACAUCGACCCGGCGGUAGUUAUCCAUUAGUUUUCGGAUUUCUCCACUUACAGAUCCAAUGGAAUAGCUACACCACUAUUAGUGAAACUAUCAUAGUCAGUAAUUCAUAAAAUGUAAACUUAUUUCCUUCCUUUCAUCUAUAUUGAAAAUGUUGGUUUGAAAAUUUAGGGGUACUUGAUUCUACGGUGAAGUUAAAAAAACUUGCGACUACGUAAACUUGGGUUCAGGAAAAUUCAAUUUUAAUGUCUUUACUAUUUUGAUUUAAUAUUGACUUUUUCAAAUUUAAAUUUGCUUAGUUAUAAAAAAAAUUUGAAAAUGUGAAAGUUGAAAAAUAAUUUUACAACAAUUACAAAAAAGUGAGGAAUUUAGUGGUCCUUUUCAUAUAUUAGUGAUCUCUCCUCGAUUCAAGAUAUAUACAUUUAUUCAAAUUGGGUAACUUUGAAUAAAUUUACUAGUGAUGAGUCGGAUGAGAGAUUAAUUGGUACCGUUAAUAACUCACUCUUGAAUCAAUAACUUUUUGGUUCAUUCUAACUUUUAAGUUUCUAUUUUAAUUUCUGGUUUAUAUUAUUUGGGCUUUGCCUGGAAGCACUGUAGUUGGGUUUGUAAGAAGUUCUUUCCUUUUCUCACGUAAUUAAAUUGAAAACCUUUUAUUAAAAAAAUGGGUAACUGCUUUUUAUUUAUUUAAGAAAACACAGUUGUCUUUGUGUUUAAGAGUUUGUCAAACAGGGUAUAAUACAAGUUGCAAAAGAGUUUUAAUUUUAUUUUGUCAACUCACGCAGGCUUUUCUAUUAGAUUUAGAUCUGGACAAUGCAACAAUAACAAUACUAUAGUAUACACAACUAGCUCUAUUGUAUUUUUGUGUUAGAAUUGUCAAAAGUUUAUGCAGAGUUAUGAAUUUAUCUCUGAAAAGUUGGAUCCACAAGGACCACAACUACAUAUCUAUGAGAGAUGACGCAAUCCACAGAAACUACUGAUUAUAUUACAAAAAUACAGUGCUUGACGUAUAAGAAAAUUGCAAAUAGUACGUAAACUAUUAAGAAAUUUAAUGCAAGUACAUGUGCGAUUGAUUAUGUUGCUUGUCUAUCAAGUUUCAUGUCUUUAUAAUGUCUGCUGGACAACCUUGACGUAUAUAAAGUCCACGCUUCGAGAAUAUAGAAAGUGUUACACAAAAAUCACUUUUUGUAAGAUGAUUUUGGUAACCAAAUGAUAUUUUUACAUAGUCAGAAAAAAAUGUAUAAGAAAACAAUCCUGACUAGACGACCUUCCAAACACCUAAUCACUAGUAAAUAGUAAUACAACCCUGCUCAUUCCUUCAAAUCCUGUUUUCAUUGGGAAUUUUAAAACGACUAAAGAUAAGCCAACUUGAUUAAUGAAAGACAGAAAGCAUGGAUUAUCGGAAAAGUGAUCGAAUAUGAUAGACUAAAAAUUAAUUCAAGGUACAAAACAAUUCUUUUAGAUCAAUCCCAAAACAAGGAUCACACACAAUAGACUAACUCACUUCUAUGAUCUUAAUCCCUUUUUUAAAUUGCCCAAAUUAAAUCAAACCAUUGGUCGAGUUUAAUAAAUUACUAUAUCAGUUUUAUAUUAUUAAUUUGUUCUUAAAUACUUAUAUAUCUGAUUGUCUUUUUAAAGUCUUAAGCCAGUCUGGUUUUAUUUUCGGGUCAACGUGUUUCUUGGUCUAUCCUAUUUUCGUAUUCUCAAAUAACAUUUUUCUUUACUUCGCAGAAGGUAUUCGAUUAUAAUAACUUAUUUUCUUUCAUAAAGCCCCCUAAACGUGCAGAUUAAAUCAGAGACCUUCUUCGGCUCGAUUUAGAACUAUAAAACACAAUUACUAUGGUUUACCUUGCAUGAUCAUAUUAAAGACAUGUUCAAGAGAUGGUCUCGGUUUGAUCAUCAAUCAUCAUGAUCUGUCUCCUUAUUGUGUGUGCGAGCAAUACACACACAAUUAGAUCGGAAAAAAGAAGAGAUUCAAGAAAGUUAAAGCAAAGAAGGGAUUCAAGAAAGUGAUUUUCUUUAUUGAUUUCGAGAUGUAAAUAGUUUUUCUUGGUUGAAUAAAGUUUACAUAAAUUGAUUUUCUUUAUUGAUUUCGAGAUGUAAAUACGUUUUUUUGGUUGAAUAAAUUUUACAUUCAUUCAAAAAAAAAAAAAAAAUUCAGUUACAAGAGAUUUUUUAGCAAUAGUCAAGCAUAGGGUUCUCGAGAGUCAAAAAUCGGAUCCCUCGCUCGGCUAUCGUGCUCUUUUAUAUGAGGGGAUAAUCGGUCUUGAAAUAUGGUCUUUUUCCUUAAUUUUCGGACGAGAAUAUUCAUUCAUUCCUCUUUUCUCACAUCAUUUGUACUUAUCUCUUUAAUUAUAUUCAAGUAAAUAAUCAAUUUUCUUCAUGUAGGUUGGUGCCGAGCUUGUCAGCUUUUGGCUCAUGGGCUGAUCUCGCACUUAUUCGGUAUAUUAUUGGGUUCAACCGGAGGGUGCUAAACCACUCUCCUAUAUUAUGUCGUUGAAUCAUAUGAGAAACUUAUCCAUUUGAAUUCUUUGUUGUAGCGUAAACCAUAAAGUGGCAAUUCCACAUUAUAUUCACACUUUCAACCAAAACGAAAUGGGAAGAACACAAAGUUUUGAUAUUCAUCGACCAUCGUCGAAGUGUACUUAAUUCUCAAUUCCAUGUUAGACAAAGAAAUUAAACCAUAGAAGAUAAAUCAAGCUUAAAAAGGAUGACAUAAGAAAACGAAAUGAGAUUUAGAGCAAAUACUGAAAAACAUCCAAAUCGUCUCUCAUACAGAAACAAAUUGAAAAGUUGAGGAGAAAGAGUGAAAGGAAGAGAAAUGUCUAAAACUUUUCUUAUUCUCUCAUAACACUACAAUCACUCUAAUAACCAACAGAGUUAUCCAGUUUUGGUGUCUUCUGAGAUUUGAACAUCUGAUCCACGUGGAAGCAUAAGUACAAAUCUUCGAAGUACAGGAGUCUCUGUCUUCAUUGACCACCUUCACACAAUAAGUAUAUAAACAUAAGUAAGAAAAACUUAGACUACAGUUAAAAUUAAAUUAAAUCGUGGAGUGAUAAAAAUGAACCUGUAUCUAGACAAAUGAUGGAUAAAAAUGGCCAUCUGCAACUUAACGAAUUCAGCUCCUACACAUAGUCUAGAACCAGAGCCAAAGGGAAGGUAAGUCCUGGAGACGUUUGCGCUCAAAUCUUUUCCCUGAAAAUUUAGUUUAAUAAAUAUUUAAAUUCCUAAGAAUUUGCUUAGUGUAAAUAAAUAAAAUUAAAAGAUGAAGAUCACAUUAAAAUCACCUUCCAGCGCCAUGGAUUAAAUGCUAAAGGGUCAUCAUAUUUUUCUGGAUUGAAAUGCACAUAAGGAUAACCCAUAAAGAUCCAACCAGCUGGAAUUGUAUAAUCACCAAAUUUGAACUCACGAUCAAUUAUUCUAAGCAUCGUCGGUACCGUGCUUGUGAUCCUAAGAGACUCAUGUAUCACCUAAAAUGAAACACGUACGUACCAUAUAUGUAAGUUUCAUGAACUCAUGUAAAUAAGUUUUAAACAUACCAUUAUUUUAUAUUUUAUUUUCAUUUCAUUUGGCCGGAUGUAAAAACGGUAGGUAAGUCGUCAAUAUUUUUAGAAAGUUAACUACUAAUUAUCAAAUAAUCUAUUUGCAUCCUUGUUAAGUUAUAAUAUAUAGGAUUUUGUUGGGGAUACUCACCAUCAUGGUGAAAGUCAUUGAUUUGUAGUCUUCCCAUGUUAAGUCAGCCUUCUCAUUCUUCUCAAUCUUAUCUCGGACAAUUCCUUCAUGUUCUCUUUGCAACUCCUGCAUGACUUUAGGGUUGUCGCUUAUGAGCUUUAUUGUAGCCGCAAGGACCAUUGGUGUUGUUUCGUUAGCCAGCAAAAACAGAGUAAAUAUGUACUCGGUCGCACUCUCUAGACUUAUAGUUUCUGCUCCUCUUUCCGUAUCUCCAAAGAUGGUCUUAAAAACCUCCCCCAAUUCCUCUCCUGAUGCUCUUUUCUUAAGUACCGUCUCUUUUAGUACCUUUAUCAUCCGAUUUCUUGCCUAUCACAAAAUAUGUAUGCUCAGUUCAAGAAAAAAUGAAGGCCCUCUAUAAAUUAAUAAUGUCGGGAUAAAAAAAUUCUAUUAAUCUAUAGAGAUAUUAAUUGAUCAAAUUAUUAAUUUAUAGAAACAUUUUACUAAUUUUGUAAUUUCUUGAAACAUUAUAUCUAAAAAGAAUUUUUUUUUAUAUAAUCAAUAUCUUUCUAAAACAAAUUAAUGUACAAGUAGAAAAAAAAAAUUAUUAAGUUUAGAAAAUAACACAAACUUUUUAAAAUGUAGUAAAAAUAUUAGAAUUAAACUAUGUUAAGAAUUAAUAGAAAUUUAAGAAAAACAAACAAUACUAGAUUCAUAUUUCACUAAAUAUUUACAUAUAUAUAUAUAUAUAUAUAUAUAUAUAUAUAUAUAUUUAUAAGUUUAUACAAUUAUUAAUUUAUGAUAUUGAUGAGACCAUAUGUUUACAUAAGAUUUUCAAAAAAGUUAUUAUCUUAUUAAUUUAUCGAUUUCUGUCACUUUUUACACUGGUCCCAACUCGGGACCAGAAAAAUUUAUUAUUUUAUAGAGGUUAUUAAUUUAUCGAGUAUUAAUUUAUAAAAGUUCUACUUUAUUUGUUGGUUUUUGUGUGUAAUUUUUUAAAAAAUGGUUAUGGGCCCUUGGACCAUUACUCAUUCGGCCUUUAUUUGGGACAAUUAUGAAAAAUUGAAAACACAAUGGCAUCUAUUUUUCCACACAAAUCCUAUCCAUAUUGAGUACUAUAUAUUAAGGUAGAUGAUUGAAAAAUAUGCACCUUCACCAUUCGAUAAACUCCAGUCCCCGGGAUAUUCCAAGCGAAUCGAAACCAUUCCGUUGGGAAAAAUGUCCAACAGAGUGUGAGUUCUUUUGCUGCCUCUGGUUCCAUCUCCCCCAUUACUUUCUUCGCAAGACAUUCAAUAAUGAUCUGUAACGUUUGAUGAUAUGUAUUUGAUGAGAUGGUUUAUUAAGUGGAAAUUAAUCUUGUUAUGAGCUACAAAAACUGUCAAAAUGGAUGACAUAUUUUUUGUACCUUGCUUGUCGUUUCCUUCACGUCAAGACAACCUUUCCUAGCUCCUUCCUUCAUGUGUGUGCGAGCCAAGAAAUCAAUGUCCUGAAUCAUCCUUAAUUUCAAAGCUUGCGAACCUAAAAACUGGUUUGUCAAGCUGCGGGCAUGUUUAUGAGUAUCCUUAUUCACAAACAAGUUAUUUGCCCCAAAUAGCCGCACUAAGCUCUUCGGCAUACCGGGAAUAUGAUUUGUCUUUGCUAUCUCCAUGUUCAGUCCAAUAUCAGUGGAAAUUAUAACUUUGCCUCCAAAUAAGCUUGUCCUAAAAACUGGUCCAUGUCUAUUUUUUUGGAAGGAAAAAAAAAAGCAAAAACUGAGACACGGUAAUUGACUAAGCUAGGAUAGUAAUUGCUUAUGAGAAAACAUCAUCAACAUAUUCUCAAGGAGAAAACGUUAUUUUGCUAUUUUCUUUUUCGCUUAAAUGUGUUAUCCAAAGAGAGAUUUAAUUAAUUAGGAUUUUUUUUUUUCUGUUCUUUGAAAUUUGAUUAUGUAUAGAAAUUUCAUCUAAUUAUAUUUACUAGAUAUCAUUCAUCAUUUCUUUAAAAAUUAUCCAAUUUAUUUUUCAUGUAGUAUGCAUACAGAAACAUCCAUUCAUUUAUUAUAAGGAAGUGCAGAACAUCGUAAGUUUUACUUAAUUGAUACAUGUUUAGAUUUCUUAAGAAAAAAAAAAUACUAUAUUAAUUCAUCCAUAAAAUUUAUCACAAUCAUUUCUUAAAAGUUUUCUGUAAUAAUUAAGUUUAUAUUCAAUUUUAUGUAUUAUAGUGGUCAAAGACUUAUAUUUCAAUUGUAGUGGUCAAAUAUGUAGUUGAUAAGUAAUUACGACAUUUAAAAAGAACCAAUGAAUACAUGAAUAACCUGAGUACUUUCUCCUUCACGAAUGUUGAUAUCUGAAUAGCAUCAUGAGGCUUCAUGAACUCGAAAGUCUCUCCGAUGACUGGAAAACCCAUCGAUCCUGGAGGAAGUUUUCCAUUACUCUUCGGAUUUCUCCACUGAUAGAUCCAAUGACACAGCUUCACCACUAUGAGUGAAACUACCACAGCCCACAACUCAUAAACCUCUACCAUGUUAAUUUUUUUUGUUUUUAGAACGUGUUUCGGGGUUUCUAUCUUCCAUAAUUUCAUAUCAUAUAUGACGAUCUAACCCGGACUAUGUAUAAUGGGUUUGGACUGCCCUUAUUACUACAAUUUAGGAGAUAUUCGUUUAUGUUUUCCUACGUUUUUGCGGAUAUGUACUAACUAUUUAUAUAUAGGGACAAUCGUAUUACUGUUCAAAAAAAUUUCUAUCUCUUGAAGAUUUUUCACUUUAGGUUCUUUAGAUAUUCAAUGUAGGUUUUGGAUCUGCUAAGGAGAAACGGUAGUGAGUGAGGUUCGGCUCUAUCCUGGGAGAAGAGAAGUUUUGUGGUCAAGUCCAGUCAAGGUCGAGGACAUCUGUGGAUUUGGAAGAGAGAAUUUUCACGGCUUAAUUGUCGCUUUAGUCGUUGCAGCUGCGGCGGAAGUCAUUGGAGAUAAGUGGAUUUUGUUGAGUGUCUCGGUGAUUAAUUGUAGAUCCCUAGUGUUGGUGUCGGAUCCCGCACCAGAAGUACGAGACCAACCAAAGAUUGCCACGUGAUCAAGAUAAUGGCCCAUAAAGGAUGAAGCCCAUUGGACCCGUGAGCCGAAGGGACGGUCGAAGUGGUUGUCACCAUUUCGAGAAUCCGAAGUGAUUACACUGUGACACGAGUUCGGUGUAAGAAGACACGGGUAAGUCGGUUUACGGACACUUGGGCCAAAAGAGGCGAGGCCCACGAAGAUCAGAGUCAACUCAAAUUCAAACGUUGAGCAUUAAAGCCGGAGAAUCAAAACGGACACAUUUAAGAAGAAAUAAUUGUGCUUAAUUACUCAUUUUAAUGUCGUUUAUCGGUGUAUAAAUAUAGAGGCCGAUGGCCAUGUAAAGGGGAUCUUCCUCUCGAGAGUGAAAUAUAUAGCAAUUUUCGUAUCAAUUUACAAGUUUUUAUAUAUUCAUUUCUGUCCCUCAAGAAUAAUCUUUCCCACUUAACAAAAAUACUUGAGUGUGUGAAUCCGACAUCCACAUUUUGGCGCCGUCUGUGGGGAAUAUCAGGAUUCUUGAGUGAUCAGAUUU
rnacentral:lncRNA from 1 species